CCCGAGGCUCUCAUCUCUCAUCUCUCUCAGUCCUCUCUUUCUUUCCACUUUCCCAUGCUCUCCCUCUCUCUGCAACUCUCAUCAUUCCUCCCUCUCUCUGCAACUCUCAUCAUUCCUUCUAGUUCUUCGGUUCUUCCCCGAACUCACACACACACACACCAGCACUCCCUCAUCUCCCUCGUUCUUCUUCUCCCUCUGCUAGUGCAGACAAGGAACCAAAACCCAGUUUCCGGUGUGGACCGUGGGUUCCAAGGUGAAACUCCGUCGAGCUCCGACCACGGCAUGCCUUGAAAAUGGUAUAGAUCUUUUCCUCUUCCCUUGGGCUUCAGUUUGGUAGUUUAUUUGACAUGUGUUGGUCACGUUUUGGGGUUGACCGGAGCUUGUAAGCUCCGGCGUCCUCUUUCCGUCGAAACCAAGCCAAAAUAUCGCGAUAGUUUCGGAAAUAUCGCGAUAUUAUCGAUAAUAUCGCGAUAUUUUGACGAAAAUCAUUUGGAUAUUGAAAAAAAAAUCGGUUCCCUUAAAAACCGAUAAUAUCGGCGAUAUUUCGCCGAUAUUAUCGGCAUUUCGGACCAUGGUUUAAAGGUUUGUUUUGGUUGUUGUGAGAAACCCUAAUAUUAAGGGUAUAUUAGUACUUUUACAUCAAGUUUUGGUUAUAAUUAUCAUAAAAUUAAAAUAGUGGCUAUAAUUCUAUAUGGGAUCUAAAAUUUGGUUAUUUUUCCAAAUUUCCCAAUGAUGAUAGAGUUUUUUUUUUUUUUUUAAUAAUACUUGCAUCCCCCUCUUGCAAAUGAUGUAUCUUGAUUGUACAAAGUUUAUAAUCGAAACCAUUUAAUUUCUUAAUCUUUAUUUGAAGGUCACCUCUACAAAAGUUCAUUUCAUUCGAAUGAUUUAGUCAUUCAAAUCUAUGGAACAAAUUGACGAUUUAGGUACCAAGUAACAUAUUCAUGAUAAACCGUCCAUUUAUGACACACCCCGUCCCGAAGGAAGGCAUGCUGGCCGUCACGUGAGAGUGACGUAACCAUUUACACAGUUCGGAAGCUUGUAAAAUACAAUUACUAAAAUGGAAACCCCCGAGGGUGACUCCUACUUUUGUGAAUUCUGUCAGAACGCCGUUUGGUUCCUCGUGGCCACCAAAGCUCUGCUAACUAGAACCUGGAGGGGCGAAAAACAAAAUUGAGUGGGUCAGUAAAACCAAAGCUUUUCAAAAACAUUUCGCCAAAAAAAUAGUUCUAACCCCUCUCUGUAAAACCUGUAUACUUUUCCCAGAAAAUAACAUAAUAGUAUAUAACAAAAAAAAAUCCUCAUAUCUCAAAUCAUCAAUCUGUAUCAAAAUCCAGAAAUCAUGCCAUGCCAUAAAGUCAAAAUAGAAUAUGGAUGCAUCAAUAUAACAGGUGAAAUAAUAAAUCAACAGAAGACCCUACAAGGGUCCUGUACGGCUGAUUCUAAAGCUCAACAUCCCACUCAGUCGGAGUCACCACAGUGACCUAUAUGGCCCUGCUGAAGUCACCAACUGUGACCUGUACGACACUACACUGCACAUCACUCGGAACUACGUAUAGUAGUCUGUACGAUGAAAGGUGUAUAAAUACGCUCUAGUGCUUCUCUCAUCAAUCAUCAGCGCGCAUAACUAAGGUCACUCACUAGUUGGAAUCACACCUGGUGAUCUAUACAACUAGCAUGUCGGAACCCUCACAUGGUCUGUACGACAUCCACCUACUUGGAUCCAAGGUGAGCGUGCAGUGUGGUGAAUAACAAUAUAAGCACUAACACCUAAGUCCAGGUUAUGAGCUUUCAAUGUAAUUCAUAUAAAAUAACUCAUCUGAAAGAUAAUAAAACUCACCUGUGCGUCCACCGCGUCAAUUCACAUAUAUAUGCAUCAAUUCUCAAUUCAAAUAUCUCAACAUUUGCAUGCAUGGCAAUUUAAAUCAUAAUUUUCAUAUAAACGCAUUUUCUGGGAAAAACAGUUGUAUAUAGGUAAUACGAAAUCAAAACUGCCCACUCACCUGGAGUUCUCCCUACAACUCCCUAGCACAAUACGCCAAGGCGUCAUGACGAUCGGCGCCUAAAACAAUAAUCAAAUCCAACCUCAGAAUUCAUAUCAAUAGAAUAUAUAACUUAUAUAAAAUACGUCACUACGUAGUUCGAUCCGGAAGAUCUGCCACUCAGAUUUUAAAUCCAUAACUUCGAGAGGUCCACAAUAUAUCUCUAGGACCACAUCCUAAAAUUUCAUUACCAUCCAACGGUCGGAUCUCCGUCAAUUUCCAAAACCAAGUGACGGUUAACAUUCUAUUUUAUGAACUUGAACUCCAAUUCCGGAAGAUCCGUAACUCGGAUUCCCAAUCCGUAAGUUCCUAUAAUCCUCAAAUAUUAUGUAUUACAACGUAUCAAAGUUUGGUGACGAUCCAACGGUCGGAUCGUCAAUUCACAUUUUUACCUAUAUGCGAAAUAAUUAUAAAACGUUAUUUAAAGCACCUAACCAACAAUUCUUAAUAACUUCUCAUACGGUGCUCAAAUUGGGGAUAUGAAUAUACCACAGUGAUCUACACAACCUCAGGAUCAUCCCCAAAUUUUUAAAAUAAUUUUUGGACUGUUCACACGCCGACACAUGCACGGCCAGACGCGCCCCCACGCGCGGCCACGUGCACUGCACACUGACGGCGUCAGUUAACGCCGUCAGGUAUAUUCCGAGAAUAUUCCGUUUGUCCUUUAAUAAAACUUAACGGCGUAACUUAACGCCGUUAGAAUAUUCCGUUUAACUUAACGGAAUAUUCCUCUUUCUUCUUCCUUCAGCUCCGGCGACCGUCGCCGUCGCCGGAAACUGGGUAAAUUUUCUAAGUUCGAUUUCUCACUUGAUUUUCAUCCAAUUUCUACGAAAUUUGUACCAAAAGAAAGCUGGAGAGGAGUAGAACAACAUUAUACCUCUUUCAAACUUCAAAACCCACGGGAUCUCGUUGGGAAAAAUCCAAGAAAACCGGCCAACUUCGAAUUUCACGAUCCCAACGUCCAAUUUCUUCCAACGAACCACUCCGAGCCUCCUUGUGACCUCCUUAAACUCCCUAUGAGCUUAGAUUUCCUUAAAACACAACAUUUUACGUUUGCAUGAAUAGUGUUCAAAAUUGGAGUUGUGAUUUCGACGUGAAAUCGAAAGAUUUCUUACCUGAAAUGGGUGUGGUUGAGUUCGUAUAGUCCUCACGAGCACGAUGGUACCCUCACAAUCUUCGAUCCGUGGAGUUUUGGAGUUCUUGGCCCUUGUCCGUACCUUCGAGGGUGAGAGAGAGAGGAAGUUGACGGGGAGGAGAGAGAGACACGGGGGAAAGAGAGAGGGAUGAGGUGUAUGUGUGUGGUCCAACCACAAUCCAAAAUCUAUUUCUUACCACACAAAACACAAACCAAAAUUUAAUCUACAUAAAUAUAAUUUCCAAAAGUUUAUGAAAUGUGUGCAUUUAGUCCAAAAUAUAUCUCACACACACAUACCUUAGUCACGUUAAGGUCAUUUCCGUCAUUUCACAUUCCCGAUAUAGAAAUCCCGGGACGGGCUGUGAUAAUUUAUUUGAUACAUUUGGAUGACUAAACGAUCUCGAAUUCGAAUGAUUUUUUGUAAUAAUUAAUCUUCAAAUUAAGAUUAAGGAAUUAAAUUCGUUGAUUAUAUUUGGUGAAAAUACGUUAUUCGUCAAUCAAAAGAUACGCUCAUCCCUAAAUGGAAAAUGCUAAGUAUUAUCCUUUCUUUUUUAUGGAUAAUUUAGUGAUAAAGGUGGUUGUGGGACAAAGAUGUGCAGAUUUGUAGUAAUCUAGGUAGACAAAUGGGGGUCGUCUUCCUUCUUCCUGUUGCCUUUUUUUACAUGUGAAAUGGACAAAGUCAUUGUCAAGUCUCUUUAAAAUGGUUAGGGGGUGUUUUGCCUGUCGGGUUGAAAUUCAGGCACAUAUCCUAACCAAGGGAUUCUCUACGUUUGCAUUUACCUUUGGAAAAAUGAUAAAUACACAUCCUUCAAACUUCACACACAUCUUUAUUUAAUAAUGUGUUUCGUGUGAUUUAUUUCAUCCACCAACUAGAAAUAGAGAAGGAUAUGUGCAGAGGUGAAGCUAGAAAGUUAUUUCAUCGGGGCACAAUUAAGUAGUGACGGAUGCAUGACUCUACUCUGUUGUGUCCCUCUCUUUCAUCUUUUUUUUUCCCAAAUAAAAUAAAUUUUUAAAGACGAAAUAGUUACCUAGAAAUUGUUACUAAAGAUAUAAACAACCUAUUCAACAACCAAAACUGGUUUGAAGGUCGUCACCAAAAAGUUUUAACGACCAAAAUCAUUUAUAUUUUCUAUCCUUUUGUAAAUUUUAUUUUCAAAAUUUAAUAACCACAUGUGCAGGGCCAGGAGACAAAUGGAAGGAGGGAGUUAAUGGGUCUUUUAGAGCAACUCCACCCCUAAAAAAUGCACCAGCACUCAGCCCAUUUAAUUCACUCACUUAACAGUGAUAGAUCCAAUGAACAGUAAUUACACCCCUAAAAAAUAUGAUGGCACAAACUAUCUCCACCCCUACAAAAUGUGCUAGCACCCAGCCCAUUUAAAAUAUUAUUAAUUUUUUUAUAAAAUAAUAAAUAAAUAAAAUUAGUUUUAAUUUUGGAUAGGAUUUUUAACCAAUCUUGUCACACCACGUGUCAUUAUCUGAAAGUACUAUUUUGUGGAUAGAUGUUCGAUAGUAUUUCAACCAAUCCCGACGCGUUAUGUGUCACUAUCUGUUUACAAUAAUUUAACCAAGAUUUCAAUCAGAUUUUCAACCAAUAUGGUCACUCCACGUGUCAUUAUCCGAACGUACUAUUUUAUGGAUAGAUUUUCGAUAAGAUUUUCAACCAAUCCCGACGCGCCACAUGUCACUAUUUGUUUACUAUAAUUUAGCCAAGAUUUCGAUCAGAUUCCCAACCAAUCACGUAGUUCCACGUGGCAUUGUUUAGAACCUCAUCCCUUCUUUUUUUGUCCAUAUAAACCCUACAUCCAUCCUCAUUCAUACACCAAACCCAAUCCUUCUUUUUUAGCUCAAAAUCCUUCUUCAUUGUUUUUAAAUCUUGAGUUCUUGCAAUGUCUUCUUCAAGGAGAUUGUAUGAAAUCGAUGAGCACCAGAAAAACUUGUUGGCACAACAAGAAGAAUUGUUCAAUGUGGAGGAAGGUGGAGAUGAGGCUUUCGCAAUUGAAAAGGAUGACAAUGAUGAAGAUAAAAGGUAGAGGGCCUCACAUUCCCGUUAUGUCAUGGAAGCUGUGGGUUAAAUAGCCAAACCCAGACGUGCCAUAAACUUCGAUAGAAGGAGAGAAAGACAAGGUAAAGAUCUCUUGGAAGAUUAUUUUAUCUCCAACAGUAUAUUACCUAAUCAUAUUUUUAGACGUCGUUUUAGAAUGCAACGAAGUUUGUUCGACAAAAUCAUGAGUGCUGUUUGCAACCAUGAUCCAUACUUUGUGAAAGAAAAAAAAGAUGUUUUUCAUGUUCUAGGUCUUCUUCUUACAUAAAAAAUUACGGCUGCCUUGCGGAUGCUUGCUUACGGAGCAUCUUCAAAUCAAGUGGAUGAGAGAGCGAGGAUCAGAAAAACAACCGUUAUGGAGUCCCUGAUGCAGUUUUGCUCCGCAAGCGAAGCCCUGUACACCAAUGAGUACCUCCAAAAACCCACGCCAAGGGACAUGCAAAGGCUUCUGAAGAAGGGUGAGAUGCGAGGCUUUCCUAGCAUGAUUGGAAACAUCGAUUGCAUACACUGGACUUGGAAUAAUUGUCCAAGUACGUGGCAAGGAGCUUAUGGCAACAAAAAAUGAGCCAAAAGUAUCAUUUUGGAAGCAAUGACUUCAUUUGAUAUAUGGAUUUGGCAUGCUUUUUUGGUGCUCCAAGAGCUCAAAAUGACCUCAAUGUUGGGUGAAUGACCAUAAAUACAAAAAAGCAUACUACCUAGCAAACGACAUUUACCCAAGGUGGUCAACGUUUGUCAAAACAGUGCCACAUCUACAAAGUGAAAAAGAAAAACACUUCACAAAAUGUCAAGAGGGGUGUAGGAAGGAUGUGGAGCGUUGUUUUGGUAUCAUGCAAGCUCGUUGGGCGAUUGUCAGGGCUGCUACAAGAAUGUUUCCUAUUGAGGAUCUUCAAUCCAUUAUGAUGAUGUGUAUCAUCCUCCACAACAUGAUUGUGGAAGAUGAGUAUGAUUAUGAUGUCGUCAACGAAUACGAGCCAAACACAAUGAACAACUCCAAAACAUGUAUCUAUUAUGCUCAUGACCACACUGAAGAUCUCAUGCAACACGAGCCAUUGGAACGGGAUGGAAGUUACAAUCACUUGAUUGUGGAGCGGUACACAAAUAUGCAACUACCAUACUGGCACUUAACCCAUCAAACUGACUUGAUUGAGCACUUGUGGAGAUUGCAACAAGGUGAAGAUUAAAAGGAGCUUGUGGUGGAAGAAUAAAGUUAUUAGUUUAUGUAAUUUAAGUUUAUAUAAUUUGGGACUAAAAAUAAAGUUAUUCAUGUGUUUUAAGUUUAUUUGGUACUAAAAAUAAAUAAGAAAUUACAUCCAUUACUAAAAAAAAAAAAUUACAUCUAUUACUAAAAAUAAAUAAGAAAUUACAUAAAGUACUAAAAAUAAAUAAGAAAUUACAUAAAGUACUAAAAUAAAUAAGAAAUUACAUCUAUUGCUAAAAAUAAAUAAGAAAUUACAUCUAUUACUAAAAAUAAAUAAGAAAUUACAUAAAGUACUAAAAAUAAAUAAGAAAUUACAUCUAGUACUAAAAAUAAAUAAGAAAUUAUACAAAGUCUGAUGAGCUAGGAUAUGUGGUGCUAGGAUCUUCGUUGCUAGGAUAUGUAGUGCUAGAACCUCCUCGACUUGUUUCCUCGUCUCUUGCACGCCUCCUUCGCACCACGUCUUUUUUUUUCCGAUGUCCAAAAAUAUUUAGAAUUCGGAGACAUUCCUUCUAGAAGCUUGUUCAUAAUGUCACGAUCUGCUUGAGCCAUCAUUUCUUCUCUAACCAGUUGGCUUUCUCGAUUAAUUAUUUCUCUUUGUCUUUCAUUAGCCGCAUCACGUCUCUCAGUAGCUCCUAAGAUUGUUUCCAUAGCCGCAGCUUUUGCCUCAUCUCUAGCCGCUUCUCGUGUCAUGUUCAAUUCACCUUGGCACGCAAGUUUGUCCAUAUAUUUUGUGUAGUCAUUUUUGGAAGAACUUCACUUUUUCUUUGCAGCCUUUUUACCUUGAGGCCUUAGGGACCAACGAGUCGGCUGCGUCUCCGGCACUUCUUCAAGCAUCCAUUCCGUCUCUUCAAAUGUGUUGUCUUCCUGUUCCGCCGAGUGUGCUUCUGGCGAAUUGUGUAGAGGAAUGUCAUGCAUGACAACUUCUGGACCGAUUGGCACAAUUUUGUAUCUGGGACAAUCUUUGACAAUUUCCCAACAUUCCCAUUUGUUGAAUAAUUUGUUGCUGUUCUUCGCAUUGUAGAAUGUUUGUGCUUGUAGUGUCUAUAAAAUGUGGGUGUAACACAAAUAAAUAAAUAAAUUAAAAUAUUGAUGCGGAUGUAACACAAAUAAAUAAAUAAAAAUAUUGUCACCUGAUCCACUAAACUUGUCCUACUACGCAGAUUACUGGAUGCAUGAGAGAGAACGUUUUUCCAACAAGUAAACGCUAUGUUGAGUUUUUUCCAACGACCUUGAAGACCUUGACUACUUCUUGUGCGAUCUCCAAGCUUCUCACAAAACUCUUCCCUAAUCAUACCCCACAUUUCUCGCAACUCCAUCUUAUUACCCGUAAGCAGGUCAUGAGUAAUGUGAACCCAACAUUGACACAAAGUAACAUCUUCGAUGAGCUUCCACGUAGCCAUUUUUUCCACAAAAAAAUAUAUGAAAGCUUUGGUUGAAAGUGUUGAAAAUAUUGAAAUGUGGUGUAAGGUGGAAGAUAAUGGCUAAGUAUUUAUAAAAAAAUAUAAUUUAAAUUAAAAAAAAAUUGUAUUUUUAAACAAUUUUUAAUAAUUUUAAUUAACUUAAUUAAUCUGGACCGUGGAUUUGAAAAGGAUUCAAAUCCAACAGCUUAGAUGUUACGUGAGCCAACGCUCAUAAUUCUGACUGUUUUUUUUUUUGAAUGAAAAUUGUCGACCGUUGAUCUUGGAUCGGACAACCCAGAAAGCACCACGUCAACUAGCCAUUAGGUUCGAAAUUCAAAUUUUUUUUACCGUUGGAAAUCCAACGACCCAUAACGAGCCACGUGGCCACUCACGGGUGCAAAUUGGUGCGCUACAACGGCAGGCCCCACCGCCUUUUUUUUGUCAGGGACACGCCCCCACUCGUGGGUGUUUCACACGCACCUAACGCAAAAAAAAAUUCAAUGGCCCUCGACAUCAGGCUGAAUGCAAACCUGACGUCAGAUGGCCCAUCCCAUAGCUCAACACAUUUUGGGCUGGCCUGGAGACUGGCUUAAGUUGGGUGCCAGCCUAUUCGCCUGGGCUGGAGCAAAAAAAUGGGAGGCUGGCCUAUUUGUGUGCUGUGAGCCGGCCUACCCACAUGGGGUGGACUAGCUCUUAUUUUGUGAAGAGAAAUUACUAACUUUAAACUUUUCUGAAAAACGGUGCCACUUAUCGAUAAACAUAUAGGAUUUUCCCUUGUUAAUCUUCGUGAAUUGUCAUAACCAACUAGGAUAUCCGCUUCCUAGUGGUCUUAGACAAGAAUUGAGUGAUACAGUUGCAUUGGAGAUAUGUUGAUGUUAUUUAAUUUUUUUAUGAACUCGUCUAUUUUCCGAAGAAAGAUGGAAGAAGAAAUAUUUUGUUAAAUUGUUUAGAACUAAUUUUUUUUUUUUCCAACCCAAAAAAUUGAGAUGGGGCACCCUUCAUCAAAUUCGCCACUGAAUAUGUUGAAGAAGCUAAAAAGAGUGUAAAAUCACCUGUUGUACGCCUAAUUUACUGAACAAUAUAAAGGGUAGAGAGGGGUGUGGCACAGAAAGAGAAAUGUAUUUGUGAGGUGUGUUAUGUCACCCCAUUGUGCCUUUAUUUAUGGUAGUAGAAAGGUAAAUUCCUUACCCCCAAUAUGAUUACAACUCUAAUAGGAUAAAUCUAAUAUAAGAGAUAUGGUAGAAUCCCAUAGGGAUAUCCUAUAUGUUAGGAUAUACACAAUCACAUUUCUAAUCUAAUAGGAGUGCAACACUCUCUUACUUUUGAUACUUCCGUUUCAUUUUUUUUUUCUUCUUUGAAGAAUUGUUUCUUUCCUUUUCUUUCUAUCAAAGGAAAAUGAGUGGUUUGUGAGGUUGCGUCUCUUUUAUAUAUCCAUCAAUAGUUUUCAAACCCUAGAACAUGUAUUGUGUGUUCUAAAUUUUGUGUCUUUGUUUUGGUUAAGGAUGGGCAUCCAUCCUUUUGUAAACUCGUAAUGUCUACAAGCACUCUAUGGUUAAGGAUGGGCAUUCAUCCCUUCGUAAACUCGUAAUGUCUACAAGUAUUCUACAUAUAUAGCAAGGAAGAAUAUCACAUGGCAGCCUAAUUUCGGUUGGACGUCUUGCUCGAGUUUCUUUUUUGGUAGCUCAGAUCCACAACACCUAUCCAUGUAAGGAGAGAAAUAAAGAGGACUUUUGUGGUGUUUUAGGGGGAGGAAAGGUGUGGGAGGGACUGGAAGAAGGAACUUUCUCUCCAAUUUAGGAACUGUAGUUGACAGAAACUCUUUGAGACUAAUAAACUCAACUAAAAUAAUUAUACAAAUACUUUUAUAAUUCAUUAUAAUUACAAGAUUGCCACUCAAUCCUACCAUAUUUUUCGACUAGCCAAUUUUUUUGCGUCAACUAGCCGAUCAAUUUUUCCAGCGACCGGCCGAUCAAUUUUUCCAAUCUGAAGGUCACUGUCCAACAAUGACUUUCAAAACAUACAUGCAAACCAUGUCUCAAAACAAAAUUAAAACCUUCCAUGUAAUUUUUUGGAUUAACUACCUAAAACCCCCCCAACCUUUUAAUGUCAUUCUGAUUUGGUCUCAAUCUUUUUAAACAUUCCAAACAAGUACCAAACCUAUUGAAAAUGUAACCUCCAUUAAGCCCCAGUUAAAAGUAUAUUAAAUUAACUUGGGCUUACUUUGUCUCCAAAAUCAAUAGAAGGUCAUGGAAGCAUAGCCUCCACCAACUAAUGGUCACUACGACCCCCAUCAUGCCAUCACCUCCAAACCUAACACAAAACCACCAACUCCACCCUACAACUCAAGCCGCUAGCAUCGAGAAGAAGGUCAUGGAGGUUGCUAAAAUGAUAUGAACUGUCAUGAUGCGGCCACCGCCAUCUUUACCACCCACAAAGAAGAACCCAAAGUUUUACGAACUGAGAAUCGGCGAAUAAGGAAAACACAUAAACAGAAACAAGUUCCUUGAAAACCUAUCUGAAUUCUUAACUCUCUUCUUUGUUAGGUGAUUGCCCUCCUAUUGUAAUUUCAAUUUGGAUCCAUUUUCGAUUCAAUUCAAUAGCUGUUUAAUCAUUGGAUUCCAUAUUAUAUAAUCUAUGUUUCAAAUUUAGAUUUUGAGGCGACUAAUAUUAAUGUUGACCAUAAUAUACAUCAUUGGUGGGGUUUGAAUAAUAUAUGUUGAUAAAUUAACUGGAACUUAACGGUUGUGACAUCUUCAAUAGGUUGGCCCCUUAUUUGGAAUAUUUAAAAAGACUGAGAUCAAUUUGGAAUGACACUAAAAGGUUAAGGAGUUUUAAGUACUUAAUCCUUUUUUUUUUUAGGAAACUAAUGAAAAGGGCUUGAAAAAUUUGAGUUUUAACGAUAAAGAUAAAAUAAAGGGUAAAGUGAAUAGUACCAAGAUUGAUUUUUUAGUGUAAAAAUAUAGUUUUUCGUUAAAUUGAACAGUACUGGGAGCUUUUCGUUAAAGUUCUCAUUCUAUUCUCCAUAAAGAAAAAGUGUAAACAUAACCAAAGUUUAAACAAUGAGAAUAGUGCAGCCCCUAAAAUGAAGUACAUGAUGAUCCAAUUUGGGUCUAUAAACCAGAUAAAAAAUCAGUAGCCCAAAAGCAACCAUUGGGCUGAUAAUGAUCCAUGAUACUUGGGAGUUUUGCAUGGCCUUUCACAGCCUUAUUUUUGGAAUUUACUAGCACAACUUCCCUUUUCCAUUUUAUUCUUUUAAUAUUUCCCCCUCCACUUCAUCCUUUUUAGCUUUUGGUGAUUUCCUUGGUGAUGAUUAAAAUCCUAAUGACCCAACCAAGCAUAAGACAAUAAGACAAUAAGCUCCUUUUCUUUUAUUUCUUGGUCACUUGUCUUCUGCAAGGGAAAAUAUUUUGUCGCCACUUCAUCCAGCAUACUAAUAUUUGAGAUACGUUUUUACUCAUUAUUAAUAUAUUAUUGAAAAUAUAUUUUGACUUAAUCGUACUAGAUACAGAUUUACUAAAAAUUUCUCUCUUUAAAUAAAACUAUUUUUCCAUAAAAAAUAAAUAAAAAAAAAACAUGACAUCUUGAAAAUUCGGCACGCGGGAACUUCCACUUCCAACCCUCUGACAAUCGAUCAACAUCAGAUCAUUAAGUAAGAAGGCCUCCAUUACUUAAACGGUCAUUAAAAUCAAAGAUGUCUGUCUUUACUGUAGUUAGAGCAAGUCCACCCCUAAGGACUUUGUGCCAGCACCCAGCACAUUUAUCCACUCAAUUAAACAGUAAUAGACCCCAGUAAACAGUAAUAGGCCAAAGCAUCUCCACCUCUAAAAAUACGCUGGCACCCAGUCUAUCUAAUAUUAUAUUAUUUUAUUCAUAUCAAUUAAUAUUUUAUCAUUUAUUUUAUUUUUUAUUUUUUCUUCUUUCUUCCUUUCCCUCUCCGAUCCUUUCUUUCUCUCUCUCUCUCUCUCUCUCUCUCUCUCUCUCCCUCCCUCUCUCUCUCUUUUCCAGCUCACUCCCGUGAGCUCACCUUCUCCUUCCUCUUCAAAACCUUCCAUUUCUGCACGCCAUCCACCAUUGCAUCUCCGACGCCAUCCCCCUGCAUCUCCGACGCCGUCCACCCCUGCAUCUCCGACGCCGUCCUCCUGCAUCUCCACACCUCCGACGCCGUCGCUUCGUCCUCCCGUCGUUCUCCCUCCGUGGUUCCUUCCCUCGCGACAUCCUCUCCCGCCUCGACCAGCUCCGCUCCUCAGCCUCCACAACAACUCCCUCUCUGACGUCAUAUGCCCUCCGACGUCACACUGACGUCAGAUAGGCCGGUCCCAAGGUCUGUCGAUUUUAGGCCGGCCUGUGGACUGGCUUGGGCUGGGUGCCAGUCGAUUUCACAGGCUGGAGUGAAUUGACAGGGUGCCAGCCUGGUUUUUUGACUGGGUGCUGGGCUCUCUUCUUCCCGGUGGAAUUGCUCUUAGUGGCUGAUGGAAGGCUUGUGGGGAACUAAAUUAACGAAAGAUUACGCUUAGGCAUUUUGUUAAUUAACGAAAGCUGCCUACCAAAUACCAACCGCCAUUCGGGACCCACCGGAUUACCUUGUAAAUUUACUAAUAUAAGAAAAUUUCUGUUUACCAAAUCAGACCAUCACAAAAUUGUCCCAAGUACAUGCACAUCCUCGCCGACCCCUAUAAAAAUCUUUCUUUAUGUUUGAACUUUGAUAACGUCAUGAUUUCAAACAAAAAAACCUUUGUGGACCAUUUCUGAGCAUCUAGGGGGCGUUUGUUUGCCCUUCUUAACCUUCACUGAAUUAGAUUGGAUUAAGUAUUAAUGUAUUCUUGUGUUUGGUGGCUUGCGGGACUAACAUUAAUGGCACUAGGUGGGACUCGCUUUCACAAACGGCUUCACUAGCCGGUCUUUGCGAGAGACCCCGAAACCCACGAGACUAGCUAAGACCUUCCAUCGUCCUCUCUUGCCUUUGUCCACUCUCGUUGCAUCCUUUAUCACCUUCGUCUGCUCAGCUGCUUUGGGUUCAUCAACCUCGAUUUUCGACAGCAUGGGCUUCAAUGAAAGCUGGAACUUGGAAGAUAGAAAAUUUUCGACGGCUGGGUUCAUCCAUCUCUGUCUCUAAUUUUUUACGGGUUCGACCUCGACCUCGAUUUUUGACGGCUGGGUUCAUCCAUCUCUAUCUCCAAUUUUCGACAGCAUCGACCUCGACCUUGAUUUUUUACGGCUCGGUUCAUCCAUCUCUGUCUCCAAUUUUCAAUUUCUUAAAUCUAAUUCGCAAUUUUUCCCAAAUUUUCAUUAGGAAAAUAGAAAAUUUGGAUCUACAUUUCUUGUCAAGUUUUAGAAUAUUCUGGUCAAGCAUCAAGAGUUAACUCAAAUUUGGGGAUUAGAUUAGGGAGAAAAUUGCAAUUCUCUCACAAUUGAAUAAGCAAAUUAUGUAGGAAAUUUGUUUGGGAUUGUGGGAAGAAAAUUGCAAUUGGUUGUUGCUGCUUGUAAUUUCCAACGACGAAGAAAAAGAAAGAGUCCUUGUUGGGACCCAAUUUGAGUCGUUUCUGCUAAUUUGGAAGAAGAAGAAGAAGAAGAAAGAGUCCUUGUUUGGACCCAAUUUGAGUCGUUUGUGCUAAUUUGGUGUCAGAUUUGUGAAUUGCAUGUUGAAAAUUUUCUAUCCUACUUCUUAGUCUAACACUGCACCAAACGUUUCACUAAGUAAAUCCAGCUUAGUCUAGUCUAAGCUAGUCCAGCUUAGUCCGUGAAGUUAGUCUAGUCUAAGAUAGUCCAGUGCAACAAACGCACCCCUAGUGGAUACCUAUAGAAUCCUGCUGACAUCUGUUGAAAAAUUUGUCUACAUAUGUUGAUAACUAUUGUGAUCCAUAAAGGCUUGUUGAAGGGUGUUGGUAAAAAAGAUGUUGAGUCAUGUUGAAGACUGUCAAAACUUAUCAUUUAAGGCAUAUCAUCGAGCACUUGGUGUGUAUAAUAGAAUCUCAUACAAAACAAGAGAAAAGAAAGACAUAAGAACGAUAGAAACAAAAAAUGAGGAUGAGGAUGUUCUAUUUCAAUGCUGCUGACUCCCUAUUUAGUUUGGCCUGACUGUUUAUAUGAGUCAAAUUUGAAUACACAAAUAAAUAUACACGAGGGUUUUGAAAAUGUAAAGGUCAUGAGCAACCAAUGAACCGAUGCUGAUUUCAUUACACACAAAUAUUUAUAAACUUAAGGCUUGUUCAUAAGAGAGAUUUAUUCUUGCCAUGAAAGUUUUUUUUAUCAAUAUUAAUGAAUGAAUGAAUUAGAUUAGAUGGUACUUUAUCACAUGGAGUCUAAUAUUAUGUUCAACUAAAGGUAUGUAGCUAAUGACCGACCUAUUGGUUCGAGAUCCCAAACGCAAUUUUGCACAAACAAAUGUAGGGUCGGUGAGAGUAUCGUGGUCCAUCACCAUGGCAAGGUGGGAAAAUGCCUAACUUGGGGAUUAUAUAUUCAGACAAACUGUAUGAAGAAGAAAAAUUGAGUCUACAAUGAAUCACUGCGUUACUUUAUCGUUUUGUACUUUUUUCGUAACAUUUAUCAGUCUACAAUGUCCUUUGAUAAUCAAAGUUGUUUGUUUUUAAGUCUAUUGUAAAAUGUUGUAAAACAAAUAGAAGAAAGGAAAAAUUACACAUAUAGUUGUUGACCUUAAAAACUACCAAGCCUAUGUGGCGCGCAGGCCGAGUAACUAAUGAGCUAACUACGUCCUUCGAUUAAUGCGGGGCAUGCCAACUCGUCGGUUGAGCUCGGCCGAGGAGUAAAAUAUGUUAAUGUUGCGUUGGGUGCGCUGCUGACUUCUCUGCGAUUGUGGUCGAGGAAGGAACACUCUCGACCUUCGGGUUCUAGAGCCUGAAGACAAGGCUGCUAGUUUUACGAAGUUCACAAAUCAUCAGCGUCGGAUUUAGUCACGGUGAUUAUAUUCAUAAGAGUAUAAGCACACCAAAUUGACAUCAGACUAUAUGGACAUAAGUAUUCAAAGCAAUGUAUGUUUAAUCAUAAAUGUGGUUCGGCCGUCAGAAUGCCGAACUCUAAAUCCAACUUGUGAGUAUCCAAUCAUAAAAUAACUAGGCGUUCAAUGCACCGAGUCUGGUGAUUCGUAACACCUUACUUCACCGAGAAGGUUCGUGAGAUGACCUCUGCCAAUAAUGAUUCGAAAACCCUUCUCGACCGAGACUUGGAUAGAUAACCAGUUGGCCUUGACGCAGUGCUGUUCAUCCAACUGAAGGUGCUUCGCGGUUGGCUGAUUCUACGACGACAGUGCUGUUUAUCCAAACUGAAGAUGUUUGUCGGUUACCUUCAUAGUGCUUUUUAUCCAAACUGAAGAUGUGUCGGCGAAAAAGAAAAUAAAAAUCUCAAGGUUGUUGAGAGGUUUCACGUAAAACGAGAGUUUGCGCAUGGCAGUUUAUGUGUUAAAUUGGAUGAGGCCUUGAAUGAUGCACUCCUCCCUCUAUUUAUAUUAGCAAACCUGCUUCUGAUCAAAUCAAAACUAUACUCGGAUUAUGACUCCUUACCCUGAUCCAAUCUUAUCUCGCCCAAUCCUACUCCUAUUAGGACUUUGAACUCAACCCCUUAUCAGGCCGCAUUCAUUCCUAAGUUUCAGCAUCCUCAUCCUGCCGAGACUCCUUAUUAUAUCAAGAUUCAACUACCCCAUCCUGAUAGGACACAGUCGGCCCCUGAGCAAAGCUUCUGGGGCAAGAACAAUUCUAAACGCAGCCCAAACCAGUAUUUUGGGCCCAAACAAUAGUACACUUUUAAUACUUAAUUUUUUUUUUAUUGAGACAACACUUUUUAAACAUUUCAAAAAGAAACAAAAGCUAAUACAAGUGAAAAAUGACAUCAUUAACUUUUUUUUUUCUAAAAUGUAAAUUACAAAAUUACUCUUGAUAGUGGUAAAUUCUUUCACACACAUUUAUCUCCUUCGUCCUUUAUCGUUGCUACCUUCUCUCAUUUUCUCUACAAUUCCCUCACGCGCCAUCGCCUCACAUUCAAAACCCUUUGCCUCCACUUCCAAACCCUCACUUCUGGCGAUGAAGGACCGACCUCCUUCCUCCUACAGCUCCGUCACCACCCCUAAUUAUACCUCCCUUGUUUAAAUUGGCUCCAAGCUCCAGGAAAAACCAGACUGUUGGUGCCGUUGCUGCUCUUAAUCGGAGGAGCAACACCAGUGGUGCUCUGGCGUAAUACCAAACUCAGCAGUAGUAGGAGUAGUUGCAUAAACCCAAGCUUCAGCAGACUUCUGUUUACGACGACAACGUUUCCGAUGAAGGCCUUGAUCGCAAAGUUGAGUUGUCACCGCAUCUGGUGAGGUUUCUAUGUGGAUUGUGUACUCGUAAAGUUGUUAAUUGAGAAGUCUGUGUGUUUACUAAGUAUGAAUUGGUGGUGAUUGGGUUUCAAUUAGGGCUCAACAGCUGAUCACAUUGAUGACAGAAUUAGUCUUGUUUUAUAAGAUCUUAUUAAAAUUUGAAGGAAGAUCAACAGCUGAUGCCGGCUCACUCUCAAGGCUAAUGCUCAGGUGAAUAUUCAUCUUUGGUUUAAAUUGUUCCUUCUUUUCUUCUUGUGUAGAAAAAAUGUGGAAGUAGCGAUGUAACCCAUUUAUUUUAGUGUACUAGGUUGCCUUCAGCUUUGUUAAACUCUCCAAGUUUAGUUUUAGAAGUACACGGUGGUUCUCAUCUCAUGUGUCAUAUGGAUAUAGUGCUCCUAUGAUUACACAGGGUUCAGACUCACCAAUUUCUCCAAAAUAACGACCUAAUGUGAAGCAAUAGGAAAGACUUGUUCGUAUUGGUGCAAGGUCACCUACCAAAAAAAAAAGUGAAAACAACAAACUAUCAGGCAAUAAGAAAGACUUGUGCAGGUUGGUGCAGAAGUUAGACUCUGAUGUUUUGAAGAGGUGGAUGUGUGGUUCAUUUUUUUUAGUUUUUAAUUUGGUUGUUGAUUGACUCGCGUACUCAGUGUGACGUGUAUGUAAUUUUGUUCAUGUUGUACAUAUUGAAAAUUGAUUCUUCUAAAAACUAUAUAAAAUGGUUGUACUAAAAAAAAAAAAAUAUAUAUAUAUAUAUAUAUAAUAAUAAUUUAUAUAUUUGAAACUGAUUCUGCAAAAAUGGUCGAUGAUGGGCUGAACUGAUUCUGGAACAAUGGUCGAGGACGAGUUGAACUGAUUCUGCAAAUAUAGUCAAAGAUAGGUUGAACUGAUUCUGCAAAAAUGGUCGAAGAUGAGUUGGACUGAUUCUGCAAAAAUGAUCAAAGACGGAUUGAACUAAUUUUGUAAAAUUGGUUAAAAACAGGUUAAACGGAUUCUGCAAAAAUAAUCGAAGAUGGGUUGAACUGAUUGAUUUUGCAAAAUUGAUAAAAGACAAGUUGACCUAAUUAUGCAAAAAUGGUUGAGGAUGGAUUGAAGUGAUUCUGCAAAAAUGGUUGAAGAUAGAUGAACUAAUUCUAUAAGAAUGGUCGACGACGGGUUGAACUGAUUCUACAAAAAUUAUCGAGAACGGGUUGAACUGAUUCUGCAAAAAUAGUCAAUGACGGGUUGAACUGAUUCUAGUAAUAAAGGAUACAAACUGAUUCUGCAUAAAAUUUCAAAACUGAUUCUGCAAAAAUAGUUGAGGAUAAGCUUAUGACACAUAUUAAUUUUGUUGGAUUUGUAAGGGCUGGAUUCUAUUAACAGCCCUAAAGCAUAGGAGUAUAGCUGGUAUUUUAAAACAUUGUUUUCAUGUUUUUGGUCUGGGCUUUAGUUGUUUUUAUGUUUUUGUCUCUCAUUAACAUGUUAAAAAACUAGUGGCGGUUCUUGAAAUAUAGUGAAAGUUUUGUCUCUAUAUAUAAAGCUCCCUAGAAGAAACUAGUGUUUUUUAGAGUAAAUAAAAUGCUUAAAUUACCACAUCACGUUUUUUAGAGUAAAUAAAUUAUCAUACUGUUAAUUGAAGAGUUAUGUUUUCCUAAAUUGUAUGGUUCCAGAAAAUUGUUUUCAAUCACCAUCAAUCUUAAUCUAACAACGUAGGAAAAAUUACAAUAAAAAUGUUAAAUGAUCAUCUACUGAGUAUUUAGCUCGAACGACGAUUGACCACAAUUUCUUUGGAUCAUAGAGUUAAAGAGAACGAGACUGAUUAAUUGAAAGAAGAACUAGAAUGAUUAAUUGAAGGAUAAUUUUUUAAUUAAAUAUUCUUUUUGCAUAAAUUGUAAUAUCCCACAUCGCCCAGGGGAGUGAUCUUUAAAUGUAUAUUCCCAUCCCUACCUAGCACGAGGUUUUUUGGGAGCUCACUGGCUUCGGGUUCCGUAGGAACUCCAAAGUUAAGCGAGUAGGAGGCCAGAGCACUCCCAGGAUGGGUGACCUACUGGGAAGUUGCUCGUGAGUUCCCAGAAACAAAACCGUGAGGGCGUAGUCGGGGCUCAAAGCGGACAAUAUCGUGCUACGGUGGUGGAGCGGGCCCGGAAAAUGGUCUGCCCCGGGCCGGGAUGUGACAUAAAUAAUCUUUAAUUAAAUUUCAUUAAACAUUUGGCCAUAUAUUAUUUAACAAUUAACGAACAAAUUAUGUGAGACUAGUACGAAAUCGUGAUAAAAAAAAAAAAAAAAAAAAACUGAGAGACUUGAAAAUACAAAAUGUAAAUUAUCUAACAUUUUAUUAUCGUUUGUCCAACAAGUUGACAAAAGAAAAUGGAAUCUUGAUUCUUAAUUCCAAGUCUAUUGCUAAACAAGUGGCAGAAGCAGCAGCACUGCAAUGUUCCGAAUAGGGAUAAGCACCGGUUAUGGCGAGCAGGUAACCGCGGUUAUUUACUCAUAACCAUUUAUAUUAAUACCCGCAUAACCGUUUACCCAUUGGGUAAUUGCAUAAACGAUUAUACUCAUACCCAUAACCGUUUAUAAACGGUUAACCAUACACAUAACCGUGUACCCAUUUAACCAUAAUCGUUUGCCCAUUUAACCAUAACUGUUUAUCCAUUUACUCAUUUUUGAACCCGUUUAUCUUUUUUUUUUUACCCAUUUAUCCCUUUUUUUCACUCGUCUACAUGUUUUGUUUUAACAACUUGAAAAUUACAAAAGAAAAAUUUGUCAUAAUUUUAGUUUUCUGACAAUUAAACACCGUUAUAAGUACAUUUUAGCAUGCAUUUCCCUAUUUUAAUCAUUUAAGUCCUCAUAUAAUUCUAAUAAUUGAAAUAAUAGUUUACGAACGAUAUUUUUCUGCUACACCCAAGCAAGUCUUUAAUUAUAAUUCAUAUAAUUACAAAGUAAAACUUCUAAAAACAAAAAGUAGUCAUUAUCUUGAAUACCAGAUGAUUCAAUGCUUCAAGAUAUUCUGAAACUAAACACUUUCGAACACUAAUGUUUUAGCACGUUCAAUCACAAAGUCUCAUCGAUUCAUUGUCACCAAAAGAGGCCUACAAAAGAAAUGUAUCAAUUGAAUUAGUAUCCCAUUUAGGAACAUCGACACCAAUUGUGCGGGUGCAGUUGGUUUCCUCCCUCCAUUUUGGUAUUGACUUCAUUUUUCUAUGCAAAUAUAUGUAGUUGAUUUUGGGUGACAAUGACCCUUUUGUUUGACAUUGUGUAAUUGUAGUAAAAAAUUACUCUUUGUUUUUCUGCUUUCAUUAGAUUUCAUCAUCAAAAUCAUUCAACUUUCCUGGAUUAGUUUGAUAGCCUCAUAAUUAUGCUCUUAAAUUCUUUUUUUGUUUUUUAGAUACUUUGCAUUAUCUGUUGUUUAUAAACUGAAAGUUUCAAUAUGUGAAGGUUUGGGCGUAUGUCAAGAAGAGCAUCAUGGCUUGGACUUAUGCUUCAAGAAAACUCAUGACUCAUCUGUAAUAGAAAAUUUUAGGGUUCUUAAUUUUUUUUUUUAAUUUUACAUAUAUUAAAUUAAAUAGGUAAAUAGGUACCCGUUAUCAUCCCGGGUAAUACCUAUAACCGCUCAUUUAAAUUUCACAGAUAAACGGUUAUAGUUCGUCUAAACGAUUACCUAUAACCGUAAUAGUGAACUUUAAAUAGGCAGGUAACCGCGGUUACCCAAACUCAUGGGUAUUUUGCCCAUCUCUAGCUCCAAAAGUCCCAAUGUCGGCAAACGUGACAAUCUCCGAACAGCCUCUCAUGAUUGGUAAUGUUCUAAAAAAAUGUUAAGGAGACUUUCUAAAAUGAAAGAGGAUCAUUUUAGAUUCUUUUUAUGAGGAUUCCGGAGAUCUUCAAAUCGUGUUCGUUCAUCGUAUAUCAUGCGGUCAGUCUCAUCAAGUAUUUUUCAUAUUUAAUUUUAAAUAAAAUUAUUUAAAAUGAUUUCUAACCGCACGAUGUACUAUGAACGGACACGAUUUGAGGAUUCUCAUUCUUCUCAAGUUACUUUCUUUAUAAAUUUUGUGCUAUUUUAUAAUUUAAUGUUUAUUUCUGUAUCAAAAUUAUAAAACAUUAUACAUAAAACAUGAGGUGAUACUAAAUUCAUGAAGAGUCUUUUGAUAGAGUUCCUUUAUCAUUUCUCAAAAUUUCAUUACAAACCUUGAACCUUCCAUUCUAGUCUUCUCAACCAAACGUGACUCAACACUGUGGUAGGGACCCAACGUUAGCCAAUUACUAUGUUCGGACGGUGAAUUGAAAGAGACGUAAACCUGCCUGAGCCCGUACCCUUGAAGUUGAAGCACUCAGCUUAAGCAUGCGCACGCCUUGAGGAGCCAAGGACAAGGUACAAAAAACAUGGACGACUUUAGAGUCUCACAGUUGGUUAUGUGUUUUAACAGAAAUUUUAUUUAAACCCAAAUAACCUUACUCUACAUCCAAUUUAAAUUUUAAAUGUGAAUGAUCUUUUUUAUCUUAUUGUAUAAUUAUUAUUAAGUACAAGAUAAAUAAACAAUAAAACUAAAAAUUAUUAAUAAACUCACACCCAAUAGUCAACUAUUUGUCAUCACGCAACCUUUUGUGAAUUCGGGUUCAUUAAGCAUUAUGAGAAGAUUAAGAAGACAAUAUGACCUUUUUUUUGGGCAUCCAGGUAUCCAAUUUUCCUCUUCCACCUCCUCCAGAUACUGAUGCCCUGGAUAAAGAAAAGCGUUGCUUGAAGAGUCUUCAAGCACUUGACAAAGAUGGAAGACUGACACCUCUAGGGAGGGCCAUGGCUCAUUACCCUAUGAGUCCUCGUCACUCUAGGAUGCUCCCUAUUAUUCAAGUCUUGAUUAAGAAGAAGAGUUUCGAGGCUAAUUUAGUGCUAGCAUGCGUAGUUGCAGCUACUGCUGCUUUGAGUUUGAAGAUAACCACAAAGAAAGCUACGGCUUAAAUGAGGACGGGAACAUUACAAUUAUACACAAGCUAGAGAAGUUGGGAAGGAAUAAACUAAAAGAACGGUGAAAAUGUUCCAUGAAAUUUUUUCUAAUCCCAGCAGUGAUACUCUAUUUGUCGCUUUUGCUUUAUAGUGCUAUGAACUUGCAGAGAUCCUAGUGGAAUUGGAAUUUAUCGAGAGCAGCUUUGUAGGGAAAAUAACAUAUGCUUUGAUUUUGGGUUUCUAUUUUAAAUGGGUAUAGAAACAAAUUUGCGUAUUGAAUUGGGUUUGUUAGGAUAAUUUAGAUAGUAAAUUUGAGUUUAAAGAGAUAUUAAUAGUUGAAUUACAAAUAAUUAGGGUGUAGAGAGUAAGUUGAGUGUGAAAAGAGGUUAUAUGGGUUCAAAUAAAAUUUCCCGUCUUUUAAUUCUUUCUCGAAAAAUCGAUUCACUCUUUUAGAAUUAUUUAUAUUGUAAAUUUUUUUAUUGUUUAUAAUUUGAUAAAAAAAAAUACAAUAACCAAGAUUUAAUAAUUUAAAAUUUAAAAUCAAAUUUAGCGUGAGUGUUCAGAAAAUGAAAAUUGUUGUUUGAAAAUGGCUUCUCUAAAAUAAAUAUUGGGUUAACUGCAUUUUGUACUAAAAGGUUUGAAAGUCAUUUGUAAAAUGAGCCACGAAGUUUUAAGUUUGGCAUUUUAUGCCAUGUGGUUUCUGAAUUGCACUAAUUUAAUGUCUCCGUCAAUUUAACUGUCUAAUUAGACGUUGAGUGCUGAUAUGACAUAGACAUGACCCACAUUUAAACACUUGUUCACUGUUAAUUUCAAUGUUUAACAUUUACUCUUUUACUUUUUAAUCAUUUUAUGAAAUUAACAGUCAGUGUGUGCUUAAAUAUGGACCCAAUAUAUGUCACAUUAGCACUUAAUGUCUAAUUAGACCGUUAAGUUGACGGAGUGUUAAUUUGGUGCAAUUUAGAAACUAUGACGUGUAAACGCAAAAAAUUGAAAUUUCAUGGCUCAUUUUGCAAAUGACCCCAAAAACUUUGUGGUGUAAAAUGUUGUUAGCUCUAAAUAACUUAUCAAAUUACGAUUUCAUUUUGAGUCAAUUUGACCACAAAAAGAUAUUCAAAAUUGAAUGCAAAACCGCAGAGGUAAGCGUUUAGAACAUGAUUUAAUGCUCCAAGUGUGCGAUUUAGGUUUUACUUUUGUUCUUUUUUGUUACAAGGCCUUCCAUAGUAAGCAGGAAAAAAUGAGUGUGAUAUUAAUAUAUUGGACUCAUAGUGUGUAACAUCUUUGCAAACCACACUCACUCAAACUACUUUUGAAGGCCAAAGCAGCUUGUUUGCAAACAAUAAAAUAUGACUCUUCACAAAGCCAAACAUUGUCCUUACAUUUUAUUACAAUUCGAGAGGCACCCCACUCUCAUCUGAAAAAGAAAAUUUGAACUUGGAACCGCAAAAAUAAAGUAGUCUAAAAACUUGACUAUAGUUUGAGUGUGUGAUUUAAAACAUGAUUGAUCCUCUUUGUGAGGAUCCUAGAGAUCUUCCAAUUGUAUUCGUUCAUCGUAUAUCGUGCGGUAAGAAAUUAUUGUAAAUUUUUUUAUUUAAAAUUAAAUAUAAACAGUACCUGACAAAAACUGACCGCACGAUGUACAAUAAACGGAUAUAAUUGAAGAAUCUCUGGGAUCCUCACAAAGAGGAUCGGUUAUUUGUACCAUUUAAAAGAAGUACGAUUCUCUUCUCUUCUCUCCUCUCCCAUUCUCUAUUUUAUCUUUCUCUUUGUAUAAAAAAAUUAACAUAAGAUAUUAAUAUUAUUUAACCGUGACCGGAGGAAAUAAGAAAAUCCUACUCCCAUUUAAAAUGCGUAGAAGACUCUGACUUUAGGGGACCAGAGAGAUUUAAAUUUGGGUUUGUAAUUUAGUAGGACCAGCUCUUUGCUCUUUUGACGCGUGGUCUUGUCUUGUUUCUUUGAAACAAUCUUUUCUUUGGAUUGUUUCUUUGAAACAAUCUCUUCUUUCUUUAUCUCCAACCAGAUAUUUUCAUUUGCAUUUUUCCUUUUCGUUCUGAUAUAUUUGUCUCUCUAUUAUUUGCUGCUGGGGAUAUUUGGUGCUUGAAUUGUUGGAGGGUUUGAGAUUGGGAUGGAGGAGAGGUAUGAGGCAAUGAAGGAUCUUGGCUCUGGGAAUUUUGGAGUGGCAAGGCUGGUCAGAGAUAAGAAGACAAAGGAGCUUGUUGCUGUCAAAUACAUAGAGAGGGGGAAAAAGGUCAUUGCUUUUCUCUUUUUGUGUUCUUUUUUCACUUCAUUUAUUUAUUGCUUGAAUAAAAAAUUGAAAUGUUUGGACUUUUUUUAUUUUUUUAUGGAAAUGUUACUGCUAAUAGUUGUAGAGUUUGUGAUGUAGUUUAAUUUUUGGAUGAUUUAAGGGUUGUGAUUUUUAUAUCUGCCUGCUGAAAGAAAAGAGUUAGUGGGUUUUUGUUUGGAAUUGUGUGUUUCUUUUCCCAUUUAAUAUGAUGGGAUUAAAGUUUCAAAGACGGUUCAACUGCCCAUGCUAAUUACCAUCGAUAUUGUCCCCAACUAAAUCACCGAUAUAGUCCCCUGAGGAAUGGCUUCAACAAAGUCUAAUGUAGUUAACUCUUGUUCUGCUAUGUAAAAUUACGAUGCUUCUUUAUAAUUUCAGCAGCUGAAUAUAUAUGCCGUAACGAAUGCCGUUCAUCAAGUUCUGAGUUGUGUGAUACUGCUUGUUUUUCUGAUCCAUGAAAUGUUCAACUUCAUACCUUAUAGCUGCGUUUGUUAGAGAUGCUGUAGUUUGGAUAUGACAAAUUUCCAAAUAUUGUCCGAGUUGAAGGCAAAAGAUGGAGUAUUCGAAAAGCCUGGUAUAUUUCUGUGAAGUCAAGCACGCUUCUGAAAUAUUUAUGAAUAAAGAUAGUGUACCAGUUGACUAAUUCCGGUUGCAUUUUAGAUGUUGAGUUGCAGUUAGGUAGUGCCUACUCUACAAUUCCCAUCAUGCGGAGUUGUGCUCUCAACCUUUUUUGGCACAUGAUUGUGUUUUGUAUCGCUGUAACUUCUAAGUGUAUAAUUAUAUCCUUUUUAUCAUUAGUUAAAGCUGGAUAUGCAAAUUAGGGCUCGAAUGCAUAGCUAUUGCCUUAAUUGUCUUUUGCUCGUGUAUUUUGGAUAACAUUUAGUCAUCUGAUUCAUUUCUAGCAUUUUCUUCUCGUUGCGUACCUAUCAUGAAUAUAUAUUUUAGUAGGGAUAUAAAUUCUUUUUCGGCUUUCUGAGUUUCAGAUUGAUGAGAAUGUUCAGAGGGAAAUAAUAAAUCACAGAUCGUUGAGGCAUCCAAAUAUUGUCAGGUUCAAAGAGGUAACAAUAACUUUGUAUUGAUUCGAUUGUGUAUUUACAUGCACUUCCGGGGGUGCAUGUCUCCAUGUUUGCGUUUUUCCCUUCCCAGCAUGUCAUUGUAUUAUAUAAUUUUCGGUUAGGAUAAUCAUCAGUCAAACUGGAAGUGAUAGCAUAGAGCUAGGAUAAGGCAGUCUUGCGUUGUAACUUGUACAUGAACAGAAGAAUCAUUUUUGGCUGCAGCUCUUGCUGACUCCAAGUCAUUUAGCAAUUGUCAUGGAAUAUGCAGCUGGCGGUGAACUUUUUGAGAGGAUAUGCACUGCUGGUAGAUUUAGUGAAGACGAGGUUAGCUUGUUUAGUUUAUUUGGCACGUUUGAUUCAAAUUCCUUUACUUUUUGGUGCCUAUCGAAACUAUAUGUAACUGUUAGUUUUUCAGACUGAUUGUUUGACGGUAGUUCCCCUUCAUGACAGGCAAGGUUUUUCUUCCAACAGCUGAUAUCCGGAGUCAGUUAUUGUCAUGCCAUGGUAUAUUUAUAUUUGACAAACAGAGAGACAUGCACACACAUAACCAAAUGUUUCUUGUUUAGAAUUAGUCGAGUUUCUCUUCUUACAUUUGGCUGUAAUUUUACCGCAGGAAAUUUGUCACAGGGAUCUGAAACUGGAAAACACACUCUUGGAUGGAAGUGCUUCACCACGUCUUAAAAUAUGCGACUUUGGUUACUCCAAGGUUAUUAUGAAUUUCUUGUUGAAUAAACUUUGUUUAGUUCAGUUUACGCAGAUUAUUCUGGUGCUCUGUAGUCUUUUUUACCCAUUGUUUCUUAAACAAUUUUUUGGUUAGCAUCUACUUGCCUGAUAUGUAUAAUAUAUGUAUAUAUAUGUAAAUUUAUAUUAUUUACUACCUUGCAGUCUGCUAUAUUACACUCACAGCCAAAAUCAACUGUUGGAACACCUGCAUACAUUGCUCCGGAGGUUCUGUCACGGAAGGAAUAUGAUGGAAAGGUAUCUAAUUUCUAUUUGUUUCCGCAACCAGCCUCAAAAAUUCAAUCAUAUUGUGGGAUUUUACUGUAUGUUGGACAAAAGUAGUUCUGAUCAUGUAGUAGCUUACACAUAAUAUCAUCCGAACUGAUACAAACCAAUUAUACAGUUCAUACAAUGUACCAUAGUAUUUGCUUUCUAAGUCGGUACAACUUGGUAGAUUGCAGAUGUUUGGUCCUGUGGUGUGACGUUAUACGUGAUGUUGGUGGGAGAAUAUCCCUUUGAGGAUCCUGAAGAUCCUAGAAACUUUCGUAAGACCAUUGAGGUGAGCUUAACCUUCAUCCCCCCCACACACACACAUGGUAGUUGUACAUUGUGAUCUUAAUUCCAAAGGGUUAUGGCUUUUCGUUCCAACAAUCAAUUCAUUGCAACUUCUGAAACAGAAAAUUAUGAGUGCCCAGUACACCAUACCCGACUAUGUACGUGUUUCUGCAGACUGCAAGCAACUACUUUCUCGUAUUUUUGUUGCCAACCCUUCUAAGGUAACAUGAGUUUCUAUUGUUUCAUUUGUGUUCACUCGAUGCACAAGAACAAUGUACGGACUAUGGAGAUAAAUGUAUAAAACAGCACUGACAAUCCUUGGUCGUUGUAGAGGAUCAGUCUUCCUGAGAUAAAAAAGCACCCUUGGUUUCUGAAAAAUCUGCCGAAAGAGCUAAUUGAGGUCGAGAGAACAAACUACGCGGUAGUGGAGCGUGACCAGCCUAAACAGAGCAUUGAAGAAAUAAAUAAGAUCAUAUGCGAGGCAAGGACACCAGGGGAAGGUGGAUCCAAAGCAGGAGGUCAAGCCGUUGCUGGGCCGUCCGACUCUGGUGAUCUAGAGACUGAUUUGGACUCCGAAGUCGAUGUCAGUUGUGGCUUUUCAGGCUAUCCGUGAGCAUGAUAUCGGAAGGAUUUGUUCUUUUUAGAGUUUGUUUACACACACAAAAAAUACUUCGCUUGGACAUCUCACAUUUAUGGUGUUGAUCACAUUCAUGCUAUGCACAUUUGUACAAAUAAUUUGAACAUAUUGAAGUGGGAUUGAGUUAUUUCCAUUGUAUGUAGAUUGUAUUUGGACAUGUUUUGUGGAACUUAUCUUCAUAAGUCAGAUGGCAUGAUCUGCAUAAUUUAAAGCAUCCAGUAUUUAAUAAACUUUUGAAUAAUAAUGAUAUUUCCAGAAUGGAUUGAUAAAACUGGAGUAGUGUCCCACUGUUUUGGUUCUUGAACUACAAAUUCAUUUCGUCCAAAAUAAAAGGCUGUAAAGGGUGAACAAGAGGAGUUCUAGUGGUGUUGCCCAAAAGAUCAUUGCUUCACAUUGUGACAAAUUCAGACAUCAAUAUUCACAAAGUUUCAGUUCAUGGACCGAAACUUCAAGUGGAUCAACAUUUAGAUACCAAUGUUCAUAUUUUCUCGAGUGGAUUUUAAUCAUAUAACAAGUGUGUAAGCUUGCCUAUCACUAGUGGGUCUUCUAAUUACGAGUUCAUUUUGGAUGGGGCAACAUGAUCAGUGGUUGGUCAUACCACUCUUACAAAAAAUUAAAGUCCCUACAUUGUGACCUCAUCUGACCUAAAUCUGGUCCUAUACUAUGUGAAGUGAGAGUUCCAUAAAAUUUUGUUCUAGCAAUGCGACGAUCUGAGAGCUGUACAAAUUCAUUAAAAUUGUAAGAAACAGAGAGGUCUUGCAUCAAUAGCGUUUGUAGUCCAACGGUUAGGAUAAUUGCCUUCCAAGCAAUAGACCCGGGUUCGACUCCCGGCAAACGCACAUGUUUUAAAUUUCCUUUUUAAAAGGAAAAACAAACGCCUGAAGACAUUCAAACUGACAUUUUAGCCCUUUAACCAUCUCCAUUAAAGAUGAUCUAAGCGGAUCCUAUCUAAUAGCCCUUUAACCUUGUCGAUUGAAGACGUAUUAAGCGUAACUGCUUAGUUUCAAAGUUUACCAUUACCAUUAAAAUUCCAUCUGGACUUUUCUAACCUUCCAGGCGUAGCUUAUCAAUUUACCAAAUGCUUCAAGGGCACCUUAAUUACCGAUCAACAACACACACCUUAAUUUUACAAGCAUAAGACUUCCUAUUCACACGGAAGUUUCGGUUCCUAUUGGUCAAGUACCCUAAUAAGAUUGAAGUGGCACAUUUAGCUCCAACGAUUCAGAAACCCUUAAAAAUCAUGUGGUAUAUGCAAACUUCUCGUUUAAUAUUUGAUCUGGAUUUUUUUUUCUUGGAUUAAAUGUCAAAUAGUCCAUGUGUUAUAGUCAUUUGGCCAAUUUAGUUCCCGUAUUUUCAGUAGGCCAAUUAGUCAUUGUGUUUAUUUAUGUUAGUCAAUUAUGGACAAUCCAUCCAAUCUCUGUUUAAAAAGUUCAUAAAAAAUAUUAUAACUUAAUAUAGAAAAAUAUUUUUCAAUUAAAAUAGAAAAAAAAAUAUAAUUUCAUAAUGAAAAAAAAAGGGAUUAAACAAACUCACUAUGUCAUAUGCCUUGUCCUUGACCCAACCUUAACCGCACACGCAUGCAACUCGAUGAAUGCGUCUCUAGAUCCACCUUGGCAUCAACUGUCACCACGCGAGUUCCAUCAUUGUAGUCCUGAGAAAAUUAACCCGACCAGCUCGUCUCCGACUGUAUAAUCAAGAAACAUACCGCAAUUGAGAGAGCCAUAUAUUACCCUUUCUUUUUUUUUUUUUUUUUUUUUUUUUUUAAUUUAUAGAAAAAUACAAAUCAAUAAGAAAUAAUAUGUAUAAUAGAUAAAACUUCCUAUGUGAAAAAUUAUUAAGGUUGUGACAUAGAAUUUUUUUAGGGGGGGGUGGAAGAAAGCUAGGAGAGGAGAAACGAUAGGAGGAGGUUGGGAAGUUGGGAGAUGAGUAAUUUUCUUUUUAUUUUAAUAUUUUAAUAAAAAUGGGUAAUUUUAUAAAUAGGUUUAUAGUAGUUUAUGCAUUUUCUAACCGAAAUUGGAUGAAAUAUUCUUAAUUAGUUAAAAAAGAUGAUUACGAUGAUCAAAUUGGUCAAAUUGAAAACACGAGAACUAAUUGAUGCAAUGAGUAUAACACAAUUACCCUUAUAGCAUUUGAGGUUUUUUUUUCAUUAAUCAUCUCUUCCCCCAUAAAUUUGUCCUUAAACAGACCUUAGAAAAUAUAAAAUGACAAUGAUCCCCUACAAUUAGCUAACAUAUCUUUUGUAAACAAAAUUGAAAAAGACAAAGAUGACAUUGACUCAGUCGCCCAGUUCCCUAUUCUGGUGUUCCCCUCUUGCCAUGAUCAAUCUUUGUCCAAAGUCAACGCCAUAAUCUCCAAGCUCAAUUCUUUACCCUUAAUCCAGACCACAGAUCCCAAAUCGCCUUCCGGUCUCACUCUUCUCCCCCAAUUCUCAAAUGGGUCGGAAGCAAAACGACCCAGAAGCCACCCAUUACUUCUCUUUCGUCCUCCUCUUGGUGGUUUUGGUUUCCUGUGCUCUGGUCUACACAUUCGUCUCUGCGGUGCUUAAACCCAAUGAUGCCUCUUCAUUCUCGGACGGAUCCUCGGAGCUCGAGUCGUUGACGUUGGUUGAGAAGGGCGGCGGCGUUGGGGUGGAGGGGGAGAGUGGCGCCGGGUGUUGCAGAGGGACUGAGAAUUUGGAACUGUGGGGGGCUGCUGUGAAGUGGGGUUCUGAGUUUAAGUUCAGUUCUUCUGAGGAAUGCUGCAAGGCGUGUAAAUCCAUGUGUACUGGGACUGAUGGGCCUUGCUUGUGUGAUUCUUGGGUGUUUUGUGGGAACAAGGAGGCUUGCGGCUCCAAAUUUGGUGAGGUAAGUUGAAUCUGGGCACUGGAAUUUUGCCCAAAUGAAUUAACUUUUGAUUAUUAAUUUCGAAUGUUUACGACGAAUGUAUCCAAUUUAUGUGUAAGUUUUGAUUUGGAUGGCAUUAUAUAAGCUCAAUAAGUCUUAAUCUGUGCAAUUGAUUUCUUGAGCAUAUUUUCAAAGUCUGAAGAAUAAUUAGUCUGCAUUUUCCUAUUUGAUAAGGUUGCAUCUUUGGAUUAUGUUUUGUCAAAUCUAUUCCGUAUUUCAGUACAUUAACUUGAACUUCUUUUUGGUUGAAACUUUGUCACUUCAGUGCUGGUUGAAGAAACAGAAAGAUACAUUGGCACCGGAGCGCCAGGAAGUAGGGGAAACAGUUAUGUGGACUUCUGGACUCAUCUUUGGGAAAGGAGAGGUAUGGAAGUUUGGGGAGCAUUUGUUUUUAUUAAUUAAUGUGGCUUUGUAUACUGAAUCUUGUAGUCGUAUGUAAGUUUAUUUGUUCCCACAUGGAAUGUUAAUCAGUAGAACUGUUGGAUUUUAUGGAAUUUCCAUUAUAUCAGUUCCUACAAGAGGCAACUAGGUUUAGUUAAGUAUGAGUUGGCAAUCAGAACGUAUAUGGGUAGAACUUAUAGUGGGGUUUUGGAAAACAUGUAAUUUCUGUUGGGCCUUGAUAACAAAUCCAGUCUUAAACUAAGAUUUCUAGUAGCUAUCCCAAAUUCAAGAUGAUCGUGUUUUGCGUCUUCCUUGGAGAAAGAAGAUAAAAUAAUUCCCAAGCAUGGUCCUUGCAGAUCAGAUGAUUCAUAUAAUAUACAAAAAGAAACUCUAGAUAAGUGAUUGAUUUUUUUUGUCUUUGAAUGAGAUCUCAAUUCCAGUGAUGAUUUCGGGUGGCCAUUUUACCAGAGGUUUGUAUUGUAUCAAUCUAAAGUAUAUGGGUAACCCAAUAAUGGAAGUCUCAUUACAACAGAUAAAAAGUUACUCUAGGGAUAACAAGCUCAUCAGGUUGUUACGCCUUUCGUGCAGGUCAGAACUUACCUAAUUCUGAUCUUGCUAAUGAUCUAGAUUCAUAUCAGAAUCCCUAAGUAUAAAGUAAACUUUGUAGCAAUUGAAGACUCAUUCAGAUAAAACAGAAAGAAGACUCAAUAUCUUUGCAGCCAGGAUUUUUUACGUCAUUCAUGCCUAUCAAUUUGCACAUGGAAUGCAAAUGUAAAAGUUUGACUAAUAUGCCUAUCAACCUAUUUUUUUUCCUCCUUCAUUUUAGAUCUAGUAUGCUCAUCUUGAGCGCAUGUCCUGCUGCUGCUAGUUUCUCAGCUACUCCAUGUGCAUUAGUGUUGUUUUCAGUCUGCCAGAAAAUUUUAUCUCAUUUCUCUCUUUGUUUUACGUGACUAGUUAUUGCCACUUAUAUAAUCGAAAAUUCCCCAAAAUAAGAAAUGAAGCUAGAAAGAUUUAGACAAAGAGGAUAACGGGCUGAAUGUGUUAUUGUGUAUAGUAUGAAUGCUUAACUUUCUUUGUACAGCAAACAGGCAUGCCUAGUAAAGCAUUAAGUUUUACCAACUUUCUUUGUACAAAAUUUACUGCAUUUUCCCCUAAUGAUUUGUGCCACAUGCAUUUCAUGAAACGAAACUAAAGGUUCAAUUCUCUAGAUAAAAGGGCAGAAGCAUCAUUGUAGCUUUUACCAUCUUAACAACUCCACUACAAAAAGUAAUGCAGAGAUCAACAAUAAUUUGACAUUGGAGUUUGACGAGCAGUCAACAGAGAAUGUAUGAUUAACUUAAUAUACUACUGGUGUAGAUUAUGUAGUCAGAAGUCAACCAUUUUUGUAGAUUAUGUAUCUUGAUUUCUUUGUUUGUUGUUGGUUUUCCAGAAAUUGGUUGUAUGAUGGUAUGACCAACUUAAUAUGCUAUUGACAUGCCUAUCUUUUCUUUUUCUAGGGCAUUGUUGGCUUGGAAACAGAAUAUGGAACUCUUCAUAUAAAAGUAAGUGUUGGUGCCAUCAGAAUUUUUAACUCAUUUUUUCUUAUUUCGUUUUGGAUACAAUAUAUGAAAAUGCUAUUUGCAAAUGGAAUAUGAAUCGUUAUGGCCAGAGGGAAAUUUAAAAUGCACCAGUCAGAGUGCAACCUCUGGAGUUAACUUUUGCGUACAUGAAUUUAUGUUUGUGUUAUUGUUGACCCUAGAAAUUACAAAGCCUACGUGGCGCGCAGGCCGAAUAUAUUCUAAGCUAACUACGUCCUUCGGUGAUUGCGGGGCGUGCCAACUCGUCGGCCGAGGCUCGGCCGAGGAGUAAAUUUGAUGAUGCUGCGUUGGGUCGCGCUACUGACUUCUGCGUCUUGCGAUUGCGGCCGAGAAAGGAACGCGUCUCGGCCUCUUGGGUUCUCGAGCCUGAAGACAAGGCUGCUAUUUCUUACAAAGUUCACGAACCGAAUUCGGCUUACAAUGUGCCGAAUGUAAUAACUGUAACACCUCACCUCGCCGAGAAGGCUAAUGAGAUGACCUCGACCAACAAGGAUUCGAAAACCCUUCUCGACCGAGACUUGGAUAGGCAAUCGACCGUUCUCGCCGCAGUGCUGUUGAUGCCAACGGAAGAUACUGCGAGACCGACCGACUCUACGGUGACAGAGCUAUCUAUGCCGACUUAAGAUAUCACCGGUUGCUUCCACAGUGCUGUUGAUGCCAACGGAAGAUGUGUCAGCGAAAAAGGAAAAGAAAAAGAUCUCAAGUUGUGAGAGUUUGCGCAGGGCAAUUUUGUAUUGAUUUUUGUGGGGUCUUUCCAUUGCUGAAUGUCUUGUAUUUAUAGUAGCAGAACACCGAGCCCGAGUUCUAAUCCUAUUCGAACUAGGUUUCCCUCUCCGGAUUAACGUUACCUCAAUCAGUCCUAUCUCUGCUAGGACUACGAAUCUAGUCCUUAACUGAGCCGGAUUCGCCUUCUAGUUUUACUGAUCUCGUCGAGGGUCCCUAUUGUAUUAGGACUCGACUUGCACUCUGAUUUAACCGAUCUAGGCCUAGAAGCCCAUGAGCUGAACGCCCCCAUGACUCUCUCGCCGUAGGUCUUCUCGGGCCGAAAGUGAUACCUCCCUCGGCCCAAACUGUUAUUUUGGGCCCAAACAUUGCCCCCUCGCUUUUGAGGUCCUCGGCCUGAAACCUUUGGCCGAGUUUCGGCCUUGAAGAAGCGAAUCUACCACUCAGGAUCCCAAUACCCGAGUUCCAAGGCGCAUUUAUUGAACAUGAUCGCACGAUCUUGAUCCUGCUAAACCACUUGCCACGUGGCAUCCCCUAACAUGGCCAAUCCCCGAUAAUGACGUCUGAAGCGUGCGCCUGCCCGAACCGUCUCGCCAUUAUGACCACUAUCUCAAUUCGCGAGCCAUUUCAUCAGUCCGUGAGCCCUCCUGUCAUCGUGCAGGCGUCGAACCGUCUUUCGUCAUUAACUUCGCCGUCACACGCGAUCGUGCGCCCCCAAAACCUAAAACCGUCGGUCUUCUCAACCGCAUUCCCCAAAUGCUCAUCAUGAUCAACGAUUCCUCCGGUCGACUUUGCCCUUUGUUUUGAAUUUCGAACGAUUGCUCUUCCUCCCAUUACUCUAUAAAUACCGAAAUUUCCUCAUUUGUACUUUACGUUCUCAAACUUCCUGAAAUCUCCUACCCUUGCUCUCAAGUGCAUUCCUCCAUUCCAAGUUUUCGUCCUCAAAUCCCCAACCCAGAAAACCUCCUUACGCUGUGCUUUUACAAUGGCCUCCUUCAUCUCCAAGCUUUCCCGGGAAUGCGACCAGCAUCAAAAGAUCCUUGAUCGGAGCUCGAUCAAGAAUAUACGGUUCGAGAACGACAUGAGCACUGUCAACCAAAUCCUGGGUCCUCUCUUCAAGGCAACAAUCCCGCCGACCAUCACUGGUCUUCUCCUGGAACACUGCCUUACACCCUUGCUCCAAGGGUUUGAAUGGUCGAGAUGGGAGGCGGCAAAACCCCAAGGCUCCUGGCCCUCGACGACCACCACCUGGGCGACCUGGGUUGUCCGAAUGGAACGGCUCUUCGGCGAAAAAUGGAAAAUCCUGGGUAUCUACGACGCCAUCCUCCUUUCGUCGAUGGACAUUGUCCCUGACAAGGAGCUGCUCCUAGCCGCUCUAUGCUUCUGGUGCUCAGCCACCAACACAAUGGUCCUUCCCCUUGGUCCCAUUGGUCCCACCAUCCUGGACAUCACCGCCAUUUUGGGGACCUCGGCCACCGGGAUCCCUAUCGACGCGACCCUCUCCGGGCACCCGUCGAAUAUCGAUCUGAAGACGCUUUUCGACCGUCGAGCCUUCGAGACCCUGAACAGUGACGGUCACAUCCCGUCGAGGGAUGAGAUACAGAAGCUCCACAAGAACUUUCUCAACUACAACACCCUCUACCUUCACUUCGCCGGUCGAGGGGAAGAGGACCUGCGAGAGGGAGAGCAUGAAGCCUUUCUCUUCUACUGGUACAACAAAUACAUUUGUUGUACCAAAUCAAACAAAUGUUUGGUCGAGAAUAUGCCCGUGGCCGAAGCCCUGGCCAGUGGUCACGUCCUGGCGCUGAGUUCUAAUAUUCUUGCCCACCUCUUCCGUUGCCUGGCCGAGGCGACUCUCCACACGGUGGACCCCCACCAGAAUGGCCCUCUCUGGGUCUUCCAGCUCUGGUUGCAGGUGUACUUCGCCUCCCUUCGGCCGGCUAUAGCUGAUUUCUCAGCAACGGAGGCUCUUGGUCCUCAGCUAGCCUCCCGACCAACGCCUCCUCAUCAGGCCGAAGAGGUAUUUAGGUACCUCUUUGCCCUUGACGAUCUCUCAAGCGACGAAUUCCUGAUUUGUCGUCGUCGCGAUUACCCCCCCUCCAUCAGACUGCCUACCUCUACGUGGGCCGCAGAGGAAGAUGCCGCUCUUCGCCAAACCUGGGGGUCGUUCGUGCUUGCUCGCGACCUUCCUCUCGGCUGCGACGGGAAACGGUCGGGGUGGGAAGUGUACCAUCCGAACUUCCUUGCCCGUCAGCUCAGCUAUCUUCAGGGCUGUCCCGUCCCCCUUCUCUCUUCCCGCACAGUAUUGAGCCGCGGACGCGAGCCUCGCUCUUCAGAGAACGAGUGCAGGACUGCCGCGAAGGAGUUUCAAGAGUACUGCCAAAGAUUUCGCCUACGACCGGCCACCCCAGAAACCCAUUGCACUGACACCUUCGGUGAGUGGUGGGAAAAUUACACUCAGGAGUUCUUCGGUGCGCCGGUCGAAGAUGUACUAAGCAGGCUCUUUGGUAACCGACCUAAGAAAGCCCCGGCCCCCCACUCUCAAGGUAGUUGUUCAAUUCCCCCUUUUUCUUCAACCUUGCAUAUUGUACGCCCUACUGAAUUGUCUUUAUCCUUUUAGGUAGUCGGCAUUUGAGAAAGACAGAGGCAGUUGCCGCUGCUAUGGCCGGGAAAAAAUCGGUCGUGGCCAAAAAGGACAAACCUGCUGGUAGGGCCGGGCUGAUCAAACGGCCUCGCCAAGAGGCCGGGCCGGCUAUCGAGCCUUCCCCGCCUGCCAAGCGGGUCAAACAACUGGCGAAGAAAGGUGCACGGGAGAUCCACGUUAUUUCCAGCCACACGACGACUCCCAGUGCUUCCCCUUCUCCCGCCGCCGGCCAUUCUGGGGUCAAGAAACAGCCGGCUUCGGCCAUAGAGACGGUCCCAGCGCGGCCUGCUUCUGUGGCCGGCGAAUCAGUCGUACCUCCCUCUGUCGAGAAGGCACCUGUCUCACACCAGGCGGUUCCUAGGACCGAGGAAACCUCUCCCAAGAAUCCAAAGCCCACGGUCUUCGUGCUGGAAGAGAGUGAGGGGAGCGACGAGGUCCCGCUGGCGCGUCGUCCUCCUACUCGCCAACAAACUCCUCCAGUAUCCGAGAUGGCGGUUCAACCCGGCCCCUCCUCGGCUAAUCGUGGCAAGCGCACGGUCGAGGAACCGACCCCGGCGGCCGAACCUCUCGUUCCUUCUCAAGACCAGGACGUCCCUGCCUCCACUGAAGCAGCUGCGCCAGUCGGCCCAUCGGCAGCCGACCGUGGCAAACGCCUGCUCGAGGAACCCGAGGCCACGGCGGAAUCGCCGAUCCAUCCUCAAGACCAAGGCUUCCACAUCCCUCCACAAGAGGUUACCUCGGCUUUUGUAAGUACCUUCAAUUUUCCUCCUGAUUGCUUUUCUGCUUUAGAAUUCUAAACAAGGAAAAACUAAAUGUCAGGUGCCUGUACAUUCUUUUCACCGUCAAUUCUAUGCGCCGAAGGGCGUUAUCUAUAUUUCCUGGCCGCCUCAGUGGCCAUCAAACGUAGAUAACCUCCAUCGGCCUCGUGAAGUGAGAAGCAAUCUGAGACACUGGGCUCGGCCAUUGAGUUCUUUAGGUUCGAGCAACGACCCUGGGGACAUGGCCGAGGUCUCCUCUCGGCAGGUUAAAAAACGACACCUUCUUGCCAUUCUUGUCAUGACUUCCUUUAAGCUUAACCUUGUUUAUUCGUGCAGGCUUCAUGGGAGGUUGAAUUCAAAGCUCUCCUCUCCAGCACGACUGCAGAGUCCGGCCCUUCGGCCGCUCCAACUGAGGCUGCCGAUCCAAGCGCCCUAACCCAGUUGCGAGAAGUCCUGUCGCUCUCUUCAUCGCAAGUACUUGAGCACAACGGUCUUGAUCUGCUCGGCGUGUGUCUGAACGACCUUGGGGCCGACGGUCGCCUAAGCGGAGAUGCCAUUGUUCGGGCAUCGUCUGCUUUGGAGCGCGUUCGGGAGACAUUUGGCAUCUUCCAGACUGCUCUGAAGGCCGAACAGGACCUGCAAGCCGCCACGGCCGUUCAAGACACCCUCCGUCCGAAGAUUGACGAUCUACGGGCAAAAGGAGAAGCGUUAGCCGAGCUCGACCGUCAGAUGGCCGAACUAGCAAAACGCCGGUCGGUCAUUGCUUCUGAACUUGCGAGGGACUUCGAGUCAGGUGGGAAGGAUCGCCUAACUGAGUAUGCGGCGGCCAAAAAACGGGUCGAGCGCCUGAGGCUAGACAAAAAGAAUCGGCAAGCCGAAGUCAUCAUGGCCGACGUGCGGUGGUUGGAAUUGAAAGCUCUGCUCAGCACUCUUCUUCCCUCGUCUCCUUGAAUGUAUUAGACCUACUCAUUUUUGUAAUACCUGUCAAUUUUAAUGGAAUGACUUUUCCUACAACAAACUUUUUAUUCACGCAUUUCCCAUGUGACCGGAUAGUAUUUCUUCAAGAACUUCCCAUUAAUUGGUAAUUUGUGAACUACUCCAGUCCGGUCUUUAAGAUGAUACGCCCCUUUACCGUAUACCUUAUGCACAAUGAACGGCCCUUCCCAAUUCGGCGACCACUUGCCGAACCUAGGAUCUUUUAUUCCUACGGGCAACACCGUUUGCCACACCAAUUCACCCUCGCCGAACGUUUUCUGUCGUACCUUUUGGUUAUAGGCUCGCUCGGCAAUCUGUUUCUGUGCCACCAGUAAGUUAUAAGCGUCAAGUCGCGCCUCUUCCAAAUCUUCUAGUUCCUGUCUCAUGGACUGAUUAUAUUCGGCGCUAAACAAACUACUUUGUUCAAUUAAUCGCAACGAAUUUAUGCUCAACUCGACUGGUAGCACCGCAUCGUGUCCGUAAGUCAAUGCGUACGGGGUUGUUGCAGUUGCCGAUCGGGACGACGUUCGGUAUGCCCAUAAUGCCUCGUUCAACUUCAAAUGCCACAUGCCAGGCCUCUCUUUUAUUAUUUUUUCGAGGAUGCCAAUCAACACUUUAUUACUUGCCUCGGCCUGCCCAUUCGCCUGUGGAUAAUACGGUGUGGACUGUUCCAGCCGAAUUUUCAAAUUGGCCGUGUAUUCCUUAAACCUUUCGGCUGUGAAGAUUGUUCCAUUGUCGGUUAUGAUCGUUUCUGGCACACCGAACCGGGUCACAAUGUGUUCCUCCACGAAAUCGCAAACUUCUUUAGACGUUAAUUCGGCAUAUGAUUUUGCUUCGACCCACUUAGUAAAGUAAUCAGUUGCGACUAUUAUCCAUGCAUGCUUAGCAGCUCCAGAAGUCGGCGUGAUUUUGCCGAUUACAUCCAUGGCCCAUCCUCUAAACGGCCACGGCUUAAUGACCGAAUGUAGCGAUUCGGCCGGGACCCUUUGUAUAGGCCCAUGGAUUUGGCACUGCACGCAUCCUCGUGCAAACUCGAUACAAUCUUUCAGUAUUCUCGGCCAAAAAUAACCGUGUCGUCGGAGUAGCCAUCGCAUUUUUCGUCCAAACUGGUGAGCUCCGCAUACCCCUUCAUGAACCUCUGCGAUCGCUCGAGCACUCUCUUGAGGGCCGAGGCAUAGCAAUAACAAACCAUCUUCGCCCUUUCGGUACAACUCGCUCUGGUACGUGACAUAGUUCGUGGCGUGAGCCCGUGUCCUGCGACUGUGUUUUCCGUUAGGAUUAUCAAGGUACUGCAUAAUGGGCUUUCUCCAAUCAUCUGGUACUGCCUCGGCCGCGCAAAUUUCUAUAGAGUCCCGGUCCUGCCGAUCCAACAACGAAGGCAAGGACAUGACCCUGGUACGUAUCACAUUGUCUCGACGGAGGAUUUGCUGAUCAACCAAGGCCGGGUAUAAUUGUUGUAAUAUUGGUAUCUCCCGGCCUAGCUUGCCCCCCAGGAGUUGUGCACCGGAGGCGAUUUGAGCCAACUCGUCUGCGUCGGUAUUAUGAACCCGAGAAAUAUGCUCAAAUGUAAUACCGUCAAAGGACUCGGCCAAAUAGCUGGCGAUCAUGUGGUAAGGCGCCAGAGUACAACUCAUGCAGCGAAAAGACCCAUUAAUUUGGUUAAUCACUAGUUCAGAAUCCCCGAGGACGAGGACACGAGUGGCAUGUAGGUCAAGAAGGAGGCCCAGACCAAUGACCAGAGCCUCGUACUCGGCCUGAUUAUUGGUACAGUCGAAAUCCAAUUUGAGCGAAAAAAUACCAACGAUCGUUGUGAGGAGACUGAAUGACGAUGCCUGCACCGGCCGAGGACGAAGUACUGGAACCAUCGAAAAUACAUCGUCCAAUAGUUGUCGCGGGUCACCACCAUGCCAAUCUCGACAUCAGCACCCCCGAAAUCGUAAGGCGAAGGGUGCUGGGCAAGGAAAUCGGCCAACGCCUGUCCUUUCACAGCUUUUUGCGGCACGUAUUGCAAACUAAACUCGGACAACGCCAUCGUCCAUUUCCCAAUUCGGCCAUUCACAAUUGGCCGGGUAAGCAUGUACCGGAUAACGUCGGUCUGGGCAAUGACUUGGGUGACCGACGGGAGCAUGUAAUGCCGAAGCUUGGAUGCAGCGAAGAACACGGCGAGACAGAGCUUCUCAACGGCGGAAUAAUUGAUCUCCGGAGGACUCAGAUUACGGCUGAGGUAGAAGAUAGCCUGUUCCCGGCCGGCAUCAUUGUCUUGCGCGAGGAGGCAACCGAUGGACUCGUCGGCCGCCGAAAUGUACAGCUUGAGAGGCUUACCGCGCUGAGGAGGGACCAGGACAGGUGGGUUUGUAAGGGAAACCUUGAUCUGUGUGAACGCCGCCUGGUGCUCCUCAUUCCACAUGAACUUAUCGGAGUCCUUGAGUUUCAAAAGUGUGGAAAAGGCUUUCAGUUUACCUGCCGAAUUAGCAAUAAAUCGGCGUAAAAAAUUGAUCUGGCCGAGUAAGGACUGUAAUUGUUUCUUCGUUGUUGGGGUGGGGCGGUGAUGAUUGCGCGUGCCUUGUUCUCAUCGACUUCAAUCCCACGAUGAUGUACGAGGAAACCAAGAAAAUUCCCGGCCGAUACACCGAAGGCACACUUGGCAGGAUUCAUCUUGAGGUUGUGCUGACGCAUACGGAGGAAAGCCUGUCGGAGAUCGUCCAGAUGUGUCUGUCGGCGUUUAGAUUUGACGACAACAUCGUCGAUAUAAACUUCGACGAUGGUGCCAAUUAAAUCAUGGAAGAUGGUGUUCAUCGCCCGUUGGUACGUAGCGCCGGCAUUCUUGAGGCCGAAUGCAUGCAUGACAACCCAUUCGUAAGUGCCGAGUGCCCCCGGGCACCGGAAAGCAGUUUUUGUGCACAUCGGCUUUGGCAAUAAAUAUUUGGUUGUAUCCGGCAUGUCCAUCCAGAAAAGAUAAGAUCGCAUGAUUCGCCGCGGCAUCGAUUAACAGAUCUGAAAUCGGCAUUGUAUACUCAUCUUUGGGCGUUGCCAGAUUCAGAUUGCGAAAAUCGGUGCAGAUGCGCAGUGCACCACUUUUCUUUAAUACAGGAACAAUAUUCGCCAACCAUUCGACAUAUCGAGCUGUCCGAAUGAACCCGGCUUUCAAAAGCCGAACUAAUUCGUCCUUAACACUGAGUUGUACUUCGGUCGAGAAUCGACGAGGUGGCUGACGGAAAGGCUUGAAUCCGGGCUUAAUACGUAAUUCAUGCUCGACCAAAGCACGAUCUAAGCCGGGCAUUUCAUGAUAACUCCAAGCAAAACAAUCUUUGAAUUCCGUAAGCAAGGCCCGCAACUCGUCCUUCAUUUGUUGAGGAAGUAACGCACUAAUAAACAAAAGUCGUGGGUCAUCGGCCGUCCCAACAUUAAUCUCUUCCAAAGGGUCCUUAACAAGGGGCCGAUGAUCUUCGAGCUCGGCCGGGGCGGCUCGAAUUUUAUCAAAAGAUAAUACAGGCCCAUUAUCUCCCUCAGCAAGGAACUCGACGAGGUUGACGGCCGAAUUUGGUUGUUUAGAUAUCGUAUACCAAUGGGCCAGCAGUCGUUCCAUAGUAGAUGAAACCGCGGCCCUACGUGCUUCCCGAUCGGCGUCAAACAUCGGUUUCGGGGAGAAAGUUAGCUAAUCCGAGUCUCGCCGAAUCCUGCUGGACAGUCUCGGCGCCAACCUCGAUAGCUUUCUGAACGGAAAUCCGAGUCGGCCGUCCCUCUUCAUUGAAGCCUUGCAACGUAAUAUAGCCGACGUGAUCGUCAUAAUACCGUGCUUGAAUCAUGUUGGCUUCGAAGGGCUGGCUAUCGGCCGGAUGAACAGUGACCGAUUUGCCGUCCCAAAAGACAAGCACUUGGUACAAUGAGGAAGGAAUACAGCUGGUUUGAUGAAUCCAAUCUCGGCCGAGCAGUGCAUUAUACUCGGUUUUGGAAUCAACCACAAAAAAGGCGGUCAUAUGGGUGCGACCGGCAAUAUUCACAGUUAACGGAAGCACACCUUUGGUGUGGGACUUGUCGCCGACAAAACUGCUCAUUGUGAUCCCUGACGGAAUAAGUUCGUCAUUUGAACGGCGUAAGGCCUUCAUGAUGUUCAGGGGCAUGAUAUUGACAGUAGCUCCACAAUCGACAAAAACUUUAGAAACCGGAUAUCCCUCGAUGUGUGCCGUUACAUACAAUGGCUUUAAAUGGUGAAGCUUGGCCGAUGAUAAACGAGGGAACAAUUCGGCCAAAGCGGCCUUUAGGCUAUCAUCUCUUGCUGUUGACUCGCCUUCAGCAAUCGAUAUAAAAUCAACAUGGCCAGGUUCCUCGACAACCACAUCUCCAUCGAGGAAAUUUGGUUGAGCCGUGCUUGAUUGAAAAUCGGCAGGUAAUACAUGAACCAUACUAAUUUCCAUAUUAUCCAGGACGGACGGGCCCAUCCGAUCGAGAUCCUCCUCGUUCGGUUGGUUAGCGACUACGGACUCAGUUGUCGUCAGAGUCGGACAACGAGAUUCUUCCGUCCCUUCAAUAAUGUCACUCGGCGGAGCUGCUUCGGCCACUUGUUGGCUCUGCGUGACCGCCUCAGGUAAGGUCGAGAUUGACAAUGAGCUUGGGGUCAAGUCCUGAACCUGCUCCUGGUAGUGUAGCCGAGCAUCCCUAGUGUCGAGAUAAGCAUCCAGACGGGCAAUACGGGCGAUUUCAUCGGUCGUAAGGCCGAAGAGAGAAACCGCCGAAAAUACUUCAAAGUGAUACCGUAAAUACUGAAGGUCCUCUAGCGAGAAAGGAAGGUCAGCGACAUCGAUAUCGGUAUACGGGUCAACUUCAAAUCCAAAGACACGAGCUUCUCGUAUGUGCUGGAACCUUGCUUUCAAUCCUGGAUCUGAGGUCUUCUGGAUGAUCCGCUCAGCAUCCGGACAAGUCAAGACAAGAUCAAUGGUGUCCUGACAUGCCUUCGGCAAACCAUACAAAUCGUUGGCCGAAUGUUCCUUAUGAAAUUCUCGCAUAUAUUCCAAAGACUCCCCAAGGAACGGGGGGUGCAAAUUCCGUCGAAUUUUGACCAAAGGCUCUUGUAUAGCUAGCGGGGAUAAUUUGCUUUCGGCCUUUUGCCUGAAAUGUUCAACACGUGCCUUCAUUUCCCCUGGUCGAAUGAGAAGUUUGAUCCGCUUAUCAGCUUCUUCAAACAUGGUCUCGACGUCUUGAUCGACCAGCCGUUUCCCCUGAGCCAACUCUGUCAUAAUUGGUGGAGGUGGUCGCUUUUCAUUAGUGGCAACUGUAUCCUUCGGUCGCCACUUAGGGGCCGAAGUUUGUUGGGCUGCUUGUCGGCGAGCCAUGCAAUCUAUCCGUUGAUGCCGGCGUUUCUGAGAUUUGGACAACGCGGUAUAGACGCCCUUCGAAGAAUGGUAUGUGUACCAACGUUGAUCUCUAGGCUCAGGAGGCUUGAAGGUCUUUUGACUCCGUGAUGAUCCUGAACUGCUAGAAUUACGCUUAUAGUAAUCAUCGUCAUAAAAUGAAGCAUCAAAAUCAAGGCGCCGCCUGACCGGGGGUGUCUCUUCCAUCCGUACUUUAGGACCGAGCCUCCCAAAAACCCCAUGAUGUUGGUCUUCAUUGGCUAUCUUUUGCCGAGUUGCGGCCACGGGUUGCGAAGAAGGUUUCUCUUCUGGUUCACUGUCGACCUUCGCUUUACAUUUCCUGCACAGAACCGCUGUCCCACUAUCUUCAUUGGCGCUACACUCCGUCAAAGAUUUGACAAUAGCGGGCCCCGUUAAGGCCGCAGAUGGUUUAUUUGAACGCGAAUCGGCCAUGAACCGUGGCCGAACAUUCUGGUUCCGCGGGCGUUGUGUCUCAACCACUUCAGCCUUGCCUUUCCCUUUGUCCUUGGGUAGGUACGCGUCGACCAUAUUGACUGUUGCCGUGGGGAACGGAUCAGUAUCAACACUCAUCCUCUUCUCGGGGAACUUCAGCUUGCCAUUAUCAAUCCAGCUUUGGACGUUAUCACGAAAUACGACGCAAUUGUUUGUCGUGUGUUUGCUCGAAUUGUGGUAUUUGCAAUACACCUUUCCUUUAAGCUCCUCGGCCUUAGGAAUGUUAUGACCAGGCCGAAGCUUAAUGAUUCUUGCUGAUAACAGUUGGUCAAAAAUUGCGUCAGCCUUGGUAAUAUCAAAAGUAUAAACCUUUGACGGUUUCGAUGUUCCUUCAGUGGCCGAGCGACUUUUGGCUUCUCUAGAAUCAACCUGAGUCAAUGCCUUGCAAAUGUAUGGUUUAUCUAUUACUAUCUCAGCCGCAUCCACACUAACACAUUCAUCCUCGGUUGAUGCAUAAUUGACAGUAGGGUUCUUGUAAAUCGUUCCCCGAGUUGGAGUCUUCGAAGUCUUUUCCUCGCGGAGCAAAUAAUCGUACUGCUCGACAUGCUGGGCCAAUUCGUACAUAUCCCGAAAAUUUGCCCCCAAGAAUUUCUUUUUGUAUUCGACGUCAAGACCAUUCAAAGCAAGCCUGACAAAUUCGACUUCGGGUAAGGGCACUCGGCACCAAUUCCUAGCCGAUUUAAACCUAGUAAGAUAAUCCAUUGGUGACUCAUCAGAUGCUUGAGCCAUCCGUGCUAAUGAAGAAACUGACAUCUCCAUCCCCGGCCGAUAAAAUUGCUCGUGGAACUUCUCGACCAACUCCUCCCAGUUUUGGACGGAAUUAGGCGGGAGAUUGAUGUACCAGGCAAAUGCCGAGCCGGUCAAUGAAAAAUUGAACAGCCGUAACUUGUGGAAAUCACUAUUCACAUCUCCACAUUGCGCGGUGAAACGAGCCACGUGCUCCAACGAAGACAGGGACGAUUCACCAGCAAAAAGACUAAAAUCUGGGAUCUUGAAGCCCUUCGGGUAUCCAAACGUCUCCACGUAAGCUGGGUACGGAUGAAUAAACUUGGGAAACUUCGGCCCUUUCUUCAUAGCCGAGUCGAUCAUCCGUUGAACUUCGGUCAUAUCAACAGAUGCUGCUUCGACCCUUUGGUCGGUCCUGUCUGACCUACUGUUCGACCCUCCUCCCUUCUCCAAGUUAAUUGUUUUGAGCGGGGCAGGAAUAGGUUCGGCCGAUACAAUCGGUACAAUGUUGUUUUCUGGUAAACAAGGUUGGCGAAGAUCGAAAGGCCUGCUGCCACCAACUUGGCUAACCAGCAUUUCGAGCAGUUUGGUUUGCCGAUCAUUGGCACUGAGUAUCGCGUUCUGCAGCUUGUCAAUGCCUCGACUGAACGUCUGCUCGACUGACCGAGACUGCUCGUCCAGUCGCUUUCGGAGAAACGACCUCGUUGGUGGGUCUGAUCCGUCACCACCAUCCUCGUCACAUUCCUCUAUUAUCCCUUCAUUGAGAACGCAUGUGUUUCUGUUGGGGAUUUCUAAACCACGGAGUUGACCGCCGAGAUUAAGUUCUCUCUCUCGGCGAGUCGCGGUCGUGGACUCAGGUGUACCAACGCUAAGGGGAUUCUGCGCCUGUGGCACACUCUGUCCUAUGCUUUGACUCGGUAAAUCGGUUGUCGACUUUCCCAUAGCUGUUUUCUUUUUUACCGAUCGUGUUUCAAUUGGCAUGAACUUCGUAGUUUAGCACUAGGUCCCACCGAGCGUGCCAAAAUGUUGACCCUAGAAAUUACAAAGCCUACGUGGCGCGCAGGCCGAAUAUAUUCUAAGCUAACUACGUCCUUCGGUGAUUGCGAGGCGUGCCAACUCGUCGGCCGAGGCUCGGCCGAGGAGUAAAUUUGAUGAUGCUGCGUUGGGUCGCGCUACUGACUUCUGCGUCUUGCGAUUGCGGCCGAGAAAGGAACGCGUCUCGGCCUCUUGGGUUCUCGAGCCUGAAGACAAGGCUGCUAUUUCUUACAAAGUUCGCGAACCGAAUUCGGCUUACAAUGUGCCGAAUGUAAUAACUGUAACACCUCACCUCGCCGAGAAGGCUAAUGAGAUGACCUCGACCAACAAGGAUUCGAAAACCCUUCUCGACCGAGACUUGGAUAGGCAAUCGACCGUUCUCGCCGCAGUGCUGUUGAUGCCAACGGAAGAUACUGCGAGACCGACCGACUCUACGGUGACAGAGCUAUCUAUGCCGACUUAAGAUAUCACCGGUUGCUUCCACAGUGCUGUUGAUGCCAACGGAAGAUGUGUCGGCGAAAAAGGAAAAGAAAAAGAUCUCAAGUUGUGAGAGUUUGCGCAGGGCAAUUUUGUAUUGAUUUUUGUGGGGUCUUUCCAUUGCUGAAUGUCUUGUAUUUAUAGUAGCAGAACACCGAGCCCGAGUUCUAAUCCUAUUCGAACUAGGUUUCCCUCUCCGGAUUAACGUUACCUCAAUCAGUCCUAUCUCUGCUAGGACUACGAAUCUAGUCCUUAACUGAGCCGGAUUCGCCUUCUAGUUUUACUGAUCUCGUCGAGGGUCCCUAUUGUAUUAGGACUCGACUUGCACUCUGAUUUAACCGAUCUAGGCCUAGAAGCCCAUGAGCUGAACGCCCCCAUGACUCUCUCGCCGUACGUCUUCCCGGGCCGAAAGUGAUACCUCCCUCGGCCCAAACUGUUAUUUUGGGCCCAAACAGUUAUAUUUCUGACUUGGUUCAAUAAGCUCAAGAGAGGUUUCGUAGACAUUGCUAAAAAUUCGGUAUUUCCGUGAAACUCGAUUCUUGUUUAUGUCUCUUGCCCUCUUGUUUUAACAAUGAAUGAAUAACAACAUGAGAGAACAUCAUCAAGAUUAGAAAUUUCCCUUGACAAAACAAAAAAUUCUUUUGAAAAGUAAACUUCAUAAAUUUUAAGCCUUUUGUUUCGCUUAAAAAUAACCAACAACGAAAAAAGAAAAAAAAAACAGUAUUUUUAAAAUUGGUGUGAAUUGAGAUGAUGUGGUAUAUGUGCACAUUAAAUGAUAUGAUUUUGUAACUCUCAUGUUUGGAUAUGCUAAAGUGUUAUUUAUUAAUCCCAAAAGAAUAAUGUACCGAAUUAUAUCUGUUAAUUGACGUUUUGUUGUUUUGAUCUUGUGUUACUUGCUGUUACAAUUUGAUAAGCUGUAUACCUCUCACUACAAAAAGACAUGGAGUUUUCGUUUGGCAUGUUGUAGGGAUUUGCAGUUCGCACAUAAUGCUGAUUUUUACCACUCAGCAAAUGCCAUAAUUUUGCUCUUCAUUUAUGUUUUGUUUGAUUUAUGACAUACACUAAUAAUUUCUAGUUCUAUAUAUUAAUUUGUGCAGCUUUUCCCUGAAUGUGCCCCUCAUUCUGUAGCCUACAUUCUUGAGUUGUUGGCAUUGCGCCAUUGUGCAGGCUGCCAGUUUUAUCGUGCAGAGAGCCGAGGGCAAUCAUGGGAUUCAGAUGGAAACCACAUAAAAAAUGUAAGGCUUGAUUAAAUUGCUGGACUUCAGUCUAAAAUUGAUGAUAUGCAUUUGUUAGUUCUGCUGUGUUGUUUAUUACCUUGAAUGCCCUUUCGCAUCUGAAUACAUGCUAGUUUAUGGGAGAAGGGUCACGUACGCUUUGCAAUUCCAAUACUGCACUUAAGAACAGGGGAAAUAAACUGAUUUGAUAACUUUUCCUGUGUGAAUUUGAUAGACUCCUUUUGGCCCUCCAUUUGCACUGGUUCAAGGAACACUAGAAGCUCAAGGAGGCACAUUUAAGAAGAUUCCGACUGAAGUUUGCCCGACCAUUAGAAAGGGUUCUGUAGCAUGGAUUGGUUCUGGCCCAGAAUUUUUUAUAAGCCUAGCAAAUCACGAAGAGUGGAAAAAAGACUACACUGUCUUUGCUUCUGUUCUUCCAGAAGACAUGAGCAUCGCCGAGAAAAUUGCUCAACUUCCGACCACUCCAGAGGUUUGGAACAGUAUCAACGUGACUGUCUUGGAAAAGCCCGUUCCCUUGCUUCUGCAAAGAAUCAAGAUGAGUCACGGAGAUCUCACUGCAAACAUGAAAUCAAAUUAAAAGAAUCUAUACAAUACCGGUGUUUAUACACGAUGAAAUCCGUCCCUUCCGACGCUGUUUUCUCUUAUUAUUCUGAGUUAAACUUUAUACAUAUAUGAGAUAUAAUACCUAGAUCGUUUGAUCAUGGAAAUGUUGAGUGGCAGGUUUUGCUUAUGUUGCUGUUUAUGUUUUCCUGCCUUUUCUCUUAUUUUGUCAAAGUUUGUGUGUCUUGCUGGUUUCACUUCACUUAAACAAAAUGUAGUGUUUCCUUGUUAAACAAACUUGGGGCUCGUUUGAAAGUACUUUUAAAAUGACUGAAAGCGCUUUCAGAGAAUGUUUUUAUGUUCCAAAAGUACUUAAAGUGCUUCAUGCAAGAAGUACUAGUUGUAGGUAACACUUCAAGUGCUUAUACAAGAUUCACUUGCAUUUUUCCAAAAGAUUUGUUCCAAAAACAUUUUUACAAAAAGCGUUUUCAGUCAUUUUAAAAGUAGUUCCAAGCGAUGUCUUAAACGACUUACAUAAAGCUUUAAUGAAAAUUAAAACAAGUAAAACUAAUUGCAUAGUCAAGAAUUCAAUCAAGAAAGAUCAACGGUUCAAUUCUAUUUUAAAAUCAAAUGCUUGAAGCGACCCGCCAACUAUCAUAGAUGGAUAGUUUUGAUGCCAAUUUAGUUCUAAAACUCUUUAGCUAUGUUUGGGGUUAGGGAUUUUUACUCUCAAUGGAUUUUCAAGUCUCAAGGGAUUGAUGUCAAACUAGUAAGGAAUGAAUAAAGGAUUACAAAAUUCCCCAUAUGAGCAUUACUAAUGCAUAUAAGAGGGAUUAGCAAAUUCUUCUCAUAUUUUUUGUAAUGCUAGUAUGGAGAAUCUUCUAAUAUCGACUAUUAACUUUUUGUGGUCCAUUUCUUCUAACUUGACCUUAAUCUCUUAAUAACUUGAAAAUCUUGAAUCCAAACGUAGCGUAUUGUACAAUAUAUGCGAGCGCCAUUGCCAUAAUGGUAUAUGUUGAUGCACAAAACCGGAGGUCUUGAAACAACGUAAAUCCGACCGUGAAUCUGCAAGUAAUGUAAAUAAUACAAGAUGUAUCGUGGUUCACCCCAAGAUUUGGGCUACGUCCACACUGAUUGUAUUAUAUUUCUCUGAGAAGUAAGGGAGAGAGCGUCUGUAAUAUGAGAGGGGAUGUGAAAGGGUUUCAGGCCUAAGAGUUGGCCUCCCCUAAUUGUGAGGGUGAGGGGUCCUUUUAUAAAAUAAGGACUCCUCACUUAUUACAUAUUUGCCCAUUCCUUUAUCAUAUAAUUACAUUUAAGUCCCCCGAGUAUUUGUACGAGAUCUAAAUACGAGGCCCUAAAUAUGGUAUAAAUAGUAGUCCCCCAAGUCUUUAGUCAAGAGAGUCUUUUGGCUAGAGACUUGAAAUUCAGUCCAUGUGGGGGUCGAAGUAACUAGAUGUUGUCUUGAACUGAUGUUCGAUAUGAGGCGGUGCUCAAUCUGAAAUCAUGCUCAACUAGAAGUAGCACAUGAUGCGAGACUGCUCGGCUCGUGGCUUAUGUUGCCUUGGUUGGCUUGACUUCUGGCGUUUGAAGGUGAGGGAGUCCCUUUUAUAGAAUAAGGGCUCACUCCUUAAUACAUAAAUAUGGGCUAGAGUUAAUGCUCUCUAAUGGUGGUGAGGGAGUCAUUUUUAUAGAGUAAGGGCUCGUUCCUCAAUACAUGAAUGAUGGGCUAGAGUCCCCCAAGUAUUUUUCAUGAGGCCCAGUUGAGGUCCAAUAUAUGGUACAUAAUGUAGUCCCUCAAAUCUUCGGUCAAUAGAAUCUGUUGGCUGGAGACUUCAAAUUGAAUCCGUGUAUGGGCCGAAGUGGUGGUUGUUCGGAGGCGGUAUUUGUAUACCCUGCACUGAAGCUUUGCAGGUAAAGCUUUGCAAGUGAAGCUUUGAAGCUAGAGCUCUGUAAAUGAAGCUUUUGAAGCCGAAUCUUUUGUAAAUGAAGCUUUUGAAGCUGAUUGACAUGAGUGAUGCACAUGAAUGUUUAUGUUGAUUGCCAUGAGUGAUGCUAAGGGAUGUUGUCAUGAGUGAUGCUCAUGAAUGUUGACAUGAAUGAUGGUCAUGAAUGUUUAUGUAUGAUUGUUAUGAGUGAUGCUCAUGAAUGUUUAUGUAUGAAUGACAUGAGUAAUGCUCAUGUAUAAUUUGAAGUACUGGGCGUACUUUUGAUCACCUGGUUGGUGACAUGAAGGAGAGUACGGGUUGUACAUUUCAUCACCUGGUUGGUGGCAUGAAUGACUAGUUGCCAAAUGAUUUUAGAGUACGGGUUGUACAUUUCAUCACCAAUGGCUAGUUGCCAAAUGAUUUUAGAGUACAGGUUUUGGAGUACUGGGCGUACUUUUGAUCACCUGGUUGGUGCUAAUAGUGGCAAGUUGCCGAAUAAUUUUGGAGUACUAGGCGUAUUUUUGGUCACUUGGUUGGUGAUAAUAGAGGGCUUGACUUUUUUGGGCAUAUGGGCCUUCGCCCUCCACAUGACAUUGCAGCCCAUUAUUUUGGGCUUUGCCCUUUUUUAUUUUUUAUUUUUUUACCCUCUGAUGGGGUUUAUACAGAUGUCUCCGAAAGAUAAGAAAAAUAAUUUACACCAUUCAGAAACAAGAAAAGUAAAUCACAUCAUUCUGAUAGGGUGUUUAUUCCUUACUUUUGCUUUUUGCUUUCUGUUUUCCGUUGUACUCUCUCUGUCUCUUCACCUGGUAGACAAAAGGAAUUGUAAUAAUAGGAACCUUAUAAUUUUGCCCCUUUUCUUCUUUUCUCUUUUCCUUUUUCUUUUCACUUUUGCUUUGCACCUCUGUCUUUGCUUUUCUCGUGGUAUUCGCAGGAGAUGGUGAUGAGUAUUCUCACUGCUUGCGCUGACACCACGUGGGGUGGUGCUUGACAGACCCUACAAGUUUUUUUUGUGGGAUAUGCAAAUGCCAUCCCUUCAAGUGAGCCAUCGAUUCAAAAAGCCAGAAAAGUUAAAGCCAUCACUAAGAACACCACAAUAACCCAGAUUUCUCAAUCUCCACAGUCCCAAAAGCAUUGCUUCUGUCGGUGCUUCCAAUCUGCAUUCCUGCUGAACUUGUAAAAUGGUUCUCAAACCACAUUAUACUGAAGUUGUCGUCGAAAGAACGUGUCGGGGCAGUUUGAUGGUGAAGACGGACGGCUCGUCGGGGAGUCUUCCCCUGUUGGAUCACGACGACGUCGUCGUAGGGAAUGUCCAUGUCUGACUCCGUGUUUUCAUAGAUCUACCCCUGGGAAUUAUUGGUCUUUAGGAAAUGGCCUAGGAGAGGUUUUUUGUGAGGGCAUCGAUCCUGGUAGCACUGGAGAUCUCUAUUGCCGUCCCUUUGGGAAAGACAUGAGGAAGCCGUGAGACGAACGCUGGAGAGGUCUAAUGGACUAGCCGGCCCAACUACAAAUUCAAACGCAAAAGCUUCAGCAGCUCGCUUGCCACAGCUUCGAUGCUUGUGUCAGUGCCCUUUUUGGCGAAAAAAGGAUGGCAGAGGCAGAGAGCUCGGAAGCGGCAAGGUUAUGCACGACGACAAUCCGGCGGAGAAACCGACAGUCCGGUUCGGAUCCGUCUAUUUGCUCAGCUUGGGAACCCGUUUCGUUUCUGGGUUCAUCUAGUUCGUGUUUCCGAGAACCGGAGCUUGGGGCUUGGGAUUCUGCUACUGUGGCGGUUGAGCCGACGUCGUUUUGGGGAUUUCUUUGCCAUGCUUGACUCCUUUGACCUGACCCAAGAUGUAAACCUCACUCAAACUAGAUGCCAUAAUCUCACUGGGAUAACGUUUGUGAGAGUGGGAAUUGUCGAGGUAAACCUCAUCUUCAGGAUCUCUGCUCUGCUUCCCAGAUGGAGGUGGUGAAGAAGACGAUGAAGUUGAUGUAGCAGAUGCAUUUGCAGAUGAUGAAGAUUAUAUCUCUAGGUUCUUGACCGGUCUUUGAUUUUUCAUGCGGACAGACGAGAGUUGUGUAUUCUGCCUUGGAUUUUUGCAUAUUUGGAGAGAGAGAGAGUAUUGUGUUUCAGAUCUGGAUUUUUUAUGUUUCUGGGUUUUUCUAGGAAGUGAUUGGAAAAACUGUGGUAUCUCUGAAAUGAGAUUUGGGUGUUUUCUGUUUCUGGGUUUUUGUGAUUUUGCAGAUUCACGGCGGAGGUGAAAAAUUGAGAGAGAACCAGCAUAACUUUUCGUGUCGAUUCCCACAAAUGGCGCCAAAUGUUGAUGCACAAAAUCGGAGGUCUUGGAACAACGUAAAUCCGACCGUGAAUCUGCAAGGAAUGUAAAUAACAUAAGAUGUAUCGUGGUUCACCCCAAGGUUUGAGCUACGUCCACACUGACUGUAUUGUAUUUCUUUGAGAAAUGAGGGAGAGAGCCUUUGUAAUAUGAGAGGGGAUGUGAGAGGGUUUCAUGCCUAAGAGUUGGCCUCCUCUAAUUGUGAGGGUGAGGGGUCAUUUUAUAGAAUAAGGACUCCUCACUUGUUAUAUAUUUUCCCAUUCCUUUAUCAUAUAAUUAUAUUUAAAUCCCCCGAGUAUUUGUAAUAGAUCUAAAUACGAGACCCUAAAUAUGCUAUAAACAGUAUACAUGUGGAAUAGCCGAAUAUGUCUGAAUUUACUAUAACGAAAUGAACGAAAUGGUCAUAAAGUAUAUUUCAUCACAUAUAAACCCAUAAUUCAAAUCUCUUUAUUCAUCGAUCAUCUUAUAUAGCUUAUCACAUGACUUGUCACGUAACGAGAGAAAUACAUUGGUGAUUUCUUAUGAAUUAUCUAUCUCCUUAAUGGUAAUUUGGUAACUAACAUUAACCACCCAAACGGUCAAAACCCCCUCCAAACGGUUGCAUACGAACUCCCCCGUGAGUCCGUGACCCUGAAAAACCCUCUCAAAACUUGGUUUUGGUCUCCCUCCACUCUCCCGACUCCUCUCUCUCUCUCUCUCUCUCCCGAAAUGGUCCAAUUCCACGAGCACAUCAUAACCGAACUCCUCGACGAUCCUCAAAACGGCAGCGGCCUCGUCGUUCUCUCCUCCGGCCUCUCCCUCCCCAGACUCAUCGCCGCCCUCCUCCUCCUCCACACUCCUUCUCAGGGCACCCUCCUCAUCCUUUCCCCCCACCAACCUUUCUUCAAAUCCCAACUCCUCCACCACUUCCACCCCAACCCCAUCCCCGAAAUCUCCGCCGACCUCCCCUCCCACCACCGCCACUCCCUAUACACCUCCUCCAAUGUCUUCUUCAUCACUCCCCGCAUCCUCAUCGUCGACCUCCUCACCAGCAAAUUACCCACCUCCCAAAUCGCUGGAAUCAUCAUCCCCACCGUUCAUUCCCUCACCGAAACCUCCACGGAAGCAUUUAUCGUCCGGAUUUUCCGCUCCCUCAACAAAACGGCGUUUGUUCGCGCGUUUUCUGACAAACCCCAUUCCAUGGUUUCUGGGUUUGCCAAGGCGGAGAGGAUUAUGAAGUGCUUGUACCUCCGGAAGAUGCACCUCUGGCCGAGGUUCCAUGUGGAUGUGUCGCAGGAGCUGGAAAGGCAGCCGCCGGAGGUGGUGGAUAUACGGGUGCCAAUGACCAAACACAUGGUGGGAAUUCAGAAGGCGAUAAUUGAGGUGAUGGAUGCUUGCUUGAAGGAGAUGAGGAAGACCAAUAAGGUUGAUGUGGAGGAUUUGACGGUGGAGAACGGGUUGUUUAAGUCGUUUGAUGAGAUUGUGAGGAGGCAAUUGGACCCCAUUUGGCAUACCUUGGGGAAGAAGACUAAGCAGCUCGUCUCCGAUUUAAAGACUCUUAGAAAGCUCUUGGAUUAUCUUGUCAGGUACUUGCAUUGGGUUUGUGUUUUUGAUUGAUAAGGCCGAUAUGAUUCAACUAGUAUUUGAGAUUUUGUUUUAGCUUUAGUUUUCGGAGAAAUACAUUUUGGGUCAGUAGUGGAAAUCGAUUAAUGAAAUGUUCUUGUUUCGGUAGAUAUGAUGCGGUAACUUAUUUGAAAUACUUGGAUACACUACGCGUGUCAGAGAAUUUUCGAUCAGUCUGGAUAUUUGCAGAGUCGAGCUAUAAGAUAUUUGAGUAUUCAAAGAAAAGGGUGUAUCGGUUUGUGACAUCGGAUGGUGUGAAAUUAAGUGAUAAGAGUAAGAGUUCGAAAGGCAAGAAAAGAAAACUGAAAGGGGAUGAUGAUAAUGAGCAAGGUGAGGAAUUAUUACUCUGUGUGGUGUUAUUCAGUUUUUAUAUAGUGUUUUUUGAAUUUUUCUUAUUUGCAUAUGUAACAGUUGGAGGCACGUCGUCGACCAGUACAAGUAGUAGGAUAGUUUUAGAUGAAGUUUUAGAGGAGGCACCAAAGUGGAAGGUUUUACGUGUGAGUGAGUGAGUUCCCAUUUCUAUGUUGUCAUAUUGUUAUUCGUCUUUCAUGAAUGCAUAGCCUGGCUGAUCAAUGUACCAUAACACCUAAUAGUUGUGAUUGAACUCUAAUUUUCUUUCUUAUGUCAGUUGUCUCAUUUAAUUCUAUUGUUUCAGUUAGAAUGGCCAUAGGGAUGGUAGUGAAGUUGAUAAAAUAAUUUUAUCAACAUUUCAAUGUGUCAAUUUAAUUACAGGAGGUUCUUGAAGAGAUAGAAGAGGAAAGGCGACAGGCUUCGUCAAGAGAGGAACUUUUGGUUGAAGGUGAUGACGAUUAUAGUGGUAUUGUUCUAGUGGCAUGCAAAGAUGAACGUUCAUGCAUGCAGCUUGAAGAUUUCAUCACCAAUGGACCACAGAAGGUUUCCCUUAAUUUUUUAAUUUUUUAUGUUCAUUUUGAAGUGUUAGGUUAACUUUGUUUCUUUGGACUUGUACUGUAUAUAAACUGUCCAAUAAAUGAAAUCUGGAGACUUGCAAUUGUGGUGAUCUCAGACACUUUUGCUGAUUAAGUGGGAUUUUUGCUUGUUCGACAUGCUUGCUUGGUCUUCUUGAUAAAUAGGUGCUAGUAUUUUGAGAAUCAACACAAAGGAUAUGCAAUCAUGGUCUUGAUUUGAUUGUUUAGAGGUUUAACUUUAACGUAAAUCUUCAAAUACACAAGCUCAUGUUAAUUUCGAUGAAAUUAUAACUUGUAUGUUAAGACAUUUUGUUCUUAAGGAAAGUGCAUUUGUGAAUAGGUUUCUGGGCAUUGUUGUGCAAGGAUAUCGUUAAUUGUAUAGUUCCACACAUUUUCUGUAACUCUUUAAGCGGUCUAAGGUUGUAUUUCUGUUUUCUAUUAUUUAAAUAUCAAUUGGCUUUUCAGAAUCAAUUAUGCAUAAGCUUAUAUAAAAAGCUUAUCAACCAAUUGAUGGUGUAUUUUCUUGUGAAGGUCAUGCGGGAGGAAUGGGAAAACUACUUGCUAGGAAAGGGAGAGCUCCGUGACUUGCAUACACGGUAUAAAAAGAAAUCAAAGAAUCCCAAAGGUUUUGGGGUUCUAGAUGGAGUUGUUCACGUAGCACCCCCACAGAAUGCAGAAGCUAGCAGUGUAAACAAGCAGGAACACGAUGCCCUUUUGGCUGCAGCUGCUGAAAUUAGAAAGCGAGCUAAAAAAGAUGAUGCUGUUGGAGAUGAUCCUCAGCUUCUUGUUAGUGGUAGAGGACAUGGAAAGGGAAGGGGAAAGGGAAAAGUAGUUCCUUCAAAAUCCCCACAGAACGCAGAAGCUGGCCGCAUAAACAACCAGGAACAUGAUGUGCUUUUGGCUUCAUCGUCAGAAAUUCAAAGGAAAGCCGAAAAAGAUGAUGAUGUUGGAGCUGAUCCUCCUCUUCUUGUUAGUGGCAAAGGACGUGGAAAGGGUAGGGGAAAAGUGAGGACCAAAAACAGCCUUGCCAAGGUUAAAUGUUUGGGGACUAAAGCCAGUACUAAUGAUAAAAAAGAAGUCAUACCUGAUGAUAAAGCCAGUACUAAUGAUAAAAAAGAAGUCAUACCUGAUGAUCUUGUUAUACCGGAUUCGGAGGAUGAAGGACAAGAAUAUGAACUAAAUCAGGUGGUGACUGCUGAUUCUACUGAACCUACAUGCCAGAUUGACCCUGUAGAUGAAGGGGUGUUGAGGAAGCAUACUGGAGUAGCGGAUUCAACUGGAACAAUAAAUGCUAAGCCACUACCUCCAGUUCACUUUUAUGCUCUAGAAAGUGGUCAGCCUAUACUGGACAUUUUGAGACCCUCUAUUAUCAUUGUUUACCACCCAGAUAUGACUUUUGUCAGAGAAAUUGAAGUUCAUAAAGCUGAGAACCCCUCGAAGUUGAAAGUUUAUUUUAUUUUCUAUGAAGAUUCUUCUGAGGUGCAAAAGUUUGAGGCAAGUAUAAGAAGGGAAAAUGGAGCGUUUGAAUCUUUGAUUAGGCAGAAGUCACUAAUGAUGAUACCAGUUGAUCAGGUUUGAUUUUUUUUUUCCUAUGGAGAAUCUUCUCUGGGACUGUUUGUUGCAAAUGUACUGGUAUUUAUGUCAAUGUUUACAUUCCGUUUCUGGUAUUAAUAUUGCGGUAUUAUAAUUAAGACUCACAACUGGAAAUGUGAAUAGAUUCAGUAAACCAAACAGAGCUUAUGAAAAUUGUUUAGGAUUUCUAUAUACUUAUUUCUUAGUGCUCGACCUUUAGCGUUCUGCAUGGACCGUAUGAACUACUGCUCUAUUACGAUUUCUUUAAGCUACUCCCGAGUAUACAAGGAAGAGUAGUUUCUUCUUUUUAAUACGUAGCUGCAUGUAUGUUUUAUGUAUUUGUUCUUUUGGCUAUAAUCAUUUAAGCAUACACUACUGGGUUGAAUAUGUGGUACUUAAAGGCUGAUUUCCCAGUGGGCACUUGUCUGUCGGUAUAACAUUUUUUAACAAUGUGUCUUGAAUCAUUUAAUGAAUUUUGAAUAUUACAGUCGAUAUCUGUGCGAUACUUAUGUUUCUAUAUCUGUGCGGGUCUCUCCUCAAUUUGACAUCAGGAUGGGAACUGCUUGGGAUUGAAUUCUUCCCAAGAACCACAAGCUUUGUCAUCCCAAAAUUCUUUAACCAGAAAAGCGGGGGGAAGAAAGGUUGCUGAGAAGGAAAUGCAGGUGCAAUCUUGAUCAUGUGUUAUGUUUUGUAUCUCCUUUACUAGAAGGCCAGUGUUUGUUAAGACUUCUCAAUCUUUCAGGUCAUAGUGGAUAUGAGGGAGUUCAUGAGCAGCCUUCCAAAUGUUCUUCACCAGAAAGGCAUGCGCAUAAUACCCGUAACUUUGGAAGUUGGGGAUUAUAUCCUUUCUCCACUGAUAUGUGUGGAGAGAAAGAGUAUCCAAGAUCUCUUUAUGAGUUUCACAUCAGGUCGUCUUUAUCACCAAGUGGAAACAAUGGUUCGAUACUAUAGAAUACCUGUUCUCCUGAUUGAAUUUUCACAGGAUAAAAGUUUCUCCUUUCAGGUAAAUCUGAAUCAUAUCUUUAGAGAUUGUUUACUUGGUCGGCCUAAUGCUAAGAUGGUAUAUGUUGCUGGAUAUUUGGUUGCAGUCCGCAAGUGAUAUUGGUGAUGAUGUCACACCAAAUAGUAUUAUAUCUAAGCUGUCGUUGCUUGUUCUACACUUCCCCCGGUUGCGAAUCAUUUGGUCCCGCAGUCUGCAUGCUACUGCUGACAUAUUUGCUACUCUUAAGGCAAAUCAGGAUGAACCUGACGAGAGCAAAGCAACUAGAGUUGGUGUACCCUCUGAAGAUGGAAUUGUGGAGGAUGAUGUGAGGUGAGAUGCAACUCGUUUUUGCAUGUUGUAAUUGUAGCUUCUUAAGCUUGUAGUAAAAUCUUUCAUACUCCUAGAAUAGGCAUAGGGAGAACUAACUCUUUUUUAGCAUAGCACGUGGUCUACACAGGGCCCUCCUUAUGCAUUUUUUCAUUCAAUAAAAAUAAAAUCAUCAGUGCAUAUUUAUGGUGAUAAAAACAUUUAGUCACCAGUGAUACGUGUUCCGUGAGAGGGACUUGUAUUAGUAGAACCACAUCAGUCGUUCCCUGUCAAAUACUGAGUCACUGACCUGACCAUGGAAUGCCUUGUCGUUACUUGAGCUUUGGUUUGCUUGUUCAUCACUUCUUACUCAUAAUGUAAAUCUGAGGGGGUGCUGUAAAUUUUCAGGGCUGAAAACUACAAUACAUCUGCGGUGGAGUUUUUGAGACGACUCCCAGGUGUUACAGAUUCAAAUUACAGGGCCAUAAUGGAUGGGUGUAAGAGCUUGGCAGAACUCGCUCUUAUGCCGGUGGAGAAGCUAGCGGAACUAAUGGGCGGUCAGAAAGCUGCUCGCAUUCUCAGAGACUUUCUUGAUGCCAAGUAUCCAACUCUGUUAUGAAGAUUAGCAGUCAUCAUAAUACAUAUCUAAUGUAUUCAUUGGUGUAACAUUGCAGUGAUUAUUUAGCUUACGAUUUUGUCAUUUGAAUAUUGUUGUUGGGUUUAAUUUUUUUCAUUUGGCAAUUCAUUGUAUAAUUUGUUGUAAGCACAGGAUAUUUACGAGGAAACUUGUUCAACACCGAGGAUUUUGAUUGCGACUAGCCUUGUCAUUAGAAACUAGUACUGUGUUUGCUAGGAUGUCACUCCCUUGUGCAAACCCACAUUCCCAGUUUCCUACUUCUAAUAACAUGGAAAGCCUAUGUUUAGGUUGUCUUAUUUUGUUUUUAUGAGGAAACUUGCCACUGGAUCUAAUAUAUGGUCCAAGAAUUCUACUGUAACAUUGUUUUGGCAUUUCCUUGAACUACUGAUUUGUUUUUGUGCUGUUUGUCUCAUGCAUAGUAGUUUUUGAAAGGAGGCAUUUCCGGUUUCUAUCUCCCAUACACUUAUUUGAAAAAGGAACACCAGGCAAGUUGAACUUCCCUCAGACUCAGUUGAUCAGGUAGUUUCUGCUUGUUUGUGUAUGGAGGAGGCCUCUACUUGAUUUAGUAUAAGUAUCUUAUUACUUACGUCCAACCCUUCACAUGAUGGCCAAAUUCUAAGUUGCUUCACUAUGUUUAACUUUGGGUUCUGUCACUAGACAGGCCCCGAUAAUCCAGCAUAUGCAACGUCACUUACAGAAUCUGAUAUUUGCUUUACAUGACAGGUUGGAAGAGUGGCCGGCCAGUUUGCAAAGCCUAGGUCUGAACCAUUUGAGGUUAGAGAUGGCGUGAAACUCCCAAGUUAUCAGAGAAACAAUGUCAAUGGUGAUGCUUUCGAUGAGAAAUCUAAAAGACCUGAUCCACAAAGGUUACUCAGAGCGUACCUCCAAUCUGUUGGCACACUGAAUCUCCUUAGAGCAUUUGCCAUUGGUGGGUGUGCUGCCAUGCAGAGAGUCUCAGAUUGGAAUCUGGACUUUGUAGAGCAUAGUGAGCAAGGAAACAGGUAUCUGUUAUAAAUCAUAUCUUGAUUUUCAUGUUGGAACACUUGCAACAUAUCUUUUGGCUAUCUGGCAAUUAGCCAGCACUUGUAGGCAUCUUGCAUCUCCAUCUGACCCAGAAAGCUACAUACACGUCAAGCACCAUAUCAGUAGUCUAAAAUGUUGUCAGUUACACUCUUCAUGUUCUGGAGCGUGCAACAGAUUGCCAAGAUUUGGUCCUUCUUGUAUAAUUAAAGCUCUCGUGUCCUUGGCUACCAUUUUUACGUGACCCAGAUUCUCUAUUCUCGUGCCCUAGUAGAAAUUGUUGGUGUGAAAAAAUACUUGAGUAAUAAGCAUACACAUUGACGAGGUUUAUUCUGCUGAGUAAAUUUUACCUGGCCGAGGAUAGGUACAUGGAAUUUGCAGAGAGAGUAGAGGAAGCUAUUGGUUUCCUUAGUGCUGCUGGGGCUACCGGAGACAAUCCAAUGGACCCAAAAGAGCUUGUCAAAUUGUGUGAAGUUCUUAACCCUCAUAACAAACCUGGUAGACAGACAAUAAUUAGCAGGAUGGGGGCACAGAUCCCCCAUUAUCAGAGCUGUGCGUCAUGCAGGGUUUUUCGUUACAUGGGUCAGUUGGAUAACAUAUUGGUCGAGGAAUGACAGGUUAAAAUCUAACAAGGGUAAACAUCCAAAAUAGUUCAUGAGAUUUGCAUGAUCAAUAGAAAUAGUCCGUGAGAUUGUCCACUAUCCAUGAUUUUGGUCCUUCCGUUAAACACUCUUUGAGCAAUUUUCAAAGCUUUAUAACUCAAUCGUUUCUUAACCAAAUUCGACCUAUAGUAUAUCAAAAUGAAGAUAGGAAAGUGUAAAACAAGAUUAUACAUAUUUGGAAGCCUAAUGGUUGCCAGAGAUGACCGGAAAAUAGCCUGAAAGGUAACUGGUUCGUGGGAAAACUGGAAAAUUGGAAAACUCGCAGGAAAACGUUCAUAACUUCUUCAAUACUCAACGAAAUCAAGUGAUUCAAAAACGAAAAUCAUACUACUUGAUGAGACGAAGAGAAUGGUAUAUUUUUCGAAGACUAACUUGCCGUGGUUUUGGUCGGACAACGGCUCGAAAGUGGCUAACCAUUUUCAAGUUAGCCACUUUCGAGCAGUUUUCCAGCCAAACCACGGCGAGUUAUUAGUCAAGAAAGAUGUCAUUCUCUUCGUCUCGUCGAGAAGUAUGCUUUUCGUUUUUGAAUCACUCGAUUUUGUUGAGCAUUGAAGAAGUUAUGAACAUUUAAAAUUUACCUAGUUUUCGGCGAGUUUUCCAGUUUUCCCGCGGACCAGUCACCUUUCAGACUAUUUUCCGGCCAUCUCUGGCAAUCAUUAGGCUUCCAAAUAGGUAUAAUCUUGUUCUACACUUUCUUAUCUUCAUUUUGAUAUAUUAUGGGUCGAAUUUGGUUAAGAAUCGAUUGAGUUACGAAGCUUUGAAAAUUGCCCAAAGAGUUUUUAACGGAAAGACCAAAAUCAUGGAUGGUGGACAAUGUCAGGGACUAUUUCUAUUGAUUUUCAAUUUUAGGAACCAAUUCUAUUGAUCAUGCCAAUCUCAGGGACUAUUUUGAAUGUUUACCCAAUCUAACAAUGAUAUUCAGGUCAAUGGCAGUUCUGCAGCGUAAGCUUUUAUAACUUCAUCGAUUUGUUGCUUCUUGGAGAUAAUUUUAUGUUCUUACUUGUAAAAUCUGAGAAAUAUUUUCUUCUUUUCUAGUGAUCGUAGUGUGUUAUGUUAUCACGUAAAUUGUUAUGUCGAGCAUGGCAAAUAAAUGACUAGCUGCAACCAUUCUUGGCAAAAAUUGACACAUGAAGCAGGAUGGUGUUUAUGACAAAAAGAGCACAAUCUGAAAUUAAGAAUUGACAUGAAUACUGGAGAUGGGAUUCCGGUUCCGGUUACCAGUUAACCCUAGCUUGUAUUGAAAAAAAUGGCUUCUACUUGUACCUUGUGCCCUUCAGUAGCAUAGUUCGAAAGAUACAACGUCCAUUUGUAUUCCUUCAGUGAGGGGGUAUGCAAACUUUGGAGCUCAUUGGGGAGAAGUUGAGUAACUUCAUAUUCCAUUGUAGUUAACGUACCAAAAACUCGUAUCAAAAUCUCAAACCUAUUUGUAUUAAAGGAAGCAAAUAUACACGUAUAGACUAGGCAGUUGAUAAUAAAAUGCGCCCGCCAACUUUCACCUUAGUUUGAAUUAUUCUAAACGUUGGCUAUGAUAGUUUAAAAUGAGUAAUGUUAGAGAGACCAAAAUUUUAAAUUAUAAAUCAAAUGAUGUGGAAGUUGAUGAUUAGAUUAUUACGUAAUAUUGAUUUAUGUGCUUAUUUCUUAUUGGUGACACAUCAUUUAAUUUGUAAAUUUGGUCUCCAUAACAUUAUCCAUUUACAAUUGCAUUGUUGCAAAAGGAAACAAAAUACUACAAGAACAUUCACCCAAAACAAGGGAAAUUACUAUAAUAGAGAAAUGGAAUAGGAUCCUAUCCGAAUCCUUAUUGGUGAGGAUCCUAAGGAUCAGUUUAUCCUAUUCGUUCAUUAGUCAUCUUGAGGCUAGAAAUUAUUUUGAUUUUUUUAUUUAAAAUUGAAUAUAAAUAGUACCUAAUAAAAUCUGAUUGCACGAUGAACGGUUGAGAUAAAUUGAUCUCUAAGAUUCUUACAAGGAGGGUUGGAAGAGGAUUUUCAUCCCACGGAACUAGUAUAUAUUAGGAUGUGCAAGGAACUAUCAGCAUCGGAUCCGUGGCGCAAUGGUAGCGCGUCUGACUCCAGAUCAGAAGGUUGCGUGUUCGAUUCACGUCGGGUUCAAUCCCUGUUUUUUGUCUUUUUAACCUCCUAAUUUCAAAUCUUACUGCUUUUUCAGGCCCAGCUCAAGGCCCAAACUAAUUCAAGUGAGAGAGAGGAGUGAGCAGAAAGAGGUGGUUUAAAGUCAGAGAGAGAGAGAGAGAGAGAGAGGCACCACCGCCUGUCCACCAACUUUUUGGUAGCAGUAUGCACUAGACAGUAGUGGGCUGGCUGGCUCACCCAGGAGGCGGAGUAGCCCCUCGACAGAGACUGCAUCCUGCUUCCACCUGCGCACAUUAGCAUUACCCAAUCACACCCACCCUCUCUCCCCCCAAAUUAAUACUACAAUGCCCUCCACAACCACCACCUCCUCCAUCAUUCCUCUCCUAACCUACACCCCUCCCUCUUCCUCCUCCUUAUCCUACACCCGAACCCACACUCAUACCCACCAUGGCCUCACCCACCGAACCCAAACCCCGCAAGUUCCCACCACCCUGCUGGACCCACGACGAGUCCCACGCCCUCAUCUCCCUC
rnacentral:lncRNA from 1 species